AUUCAACGCUUUUUUCCGUGCGCUAGGGUUUGCCCAUCCUUCGGCUCCUCCUGUAGCAGCAUCUCACCCCGCGGUCGCCGUGGCGGCGAUGGAUCUUGCGGUGGACGGGAGGUGCGCGCUGCUGUUCGGGAGCGAGGUGGCUCUAGAAGUAUAGAUAGUCUUGUUUAAAAUAUCUUGGUACGUGUUUUCAAGUGUUCUUAUCUGUAUCUUGAAUGAUGUAUUUUAUCUCCUAUGCUUAUUUCUUCCAUUUACUUGUGCAUUUUUGUCACCCCCUCAGUUUUUAGUCGACAAGCAACUCGUUUCUUUGUGUUUGAUGCAUCCUGGGAGAUUAAGACUGCAACUAGGAGCUUCUGGUUGACUAUUAAGACAAGAUAUUUUUGACUGCAUCAACAAGUGGUAGAGCUAUGAUUUAUCAAAAAGGAAACAAUUCAGAAGAAAUUAAUCUUUUGUUAUAAGAUAUCAGUAGUAUUGUUUAUGCUGUGAGAAUAAACAAUAACAAAACUGUAAGUCCUAAUAUUUGAGAUCGACUACUACAUAUAACCGUAAGGUCAUAUGUUUAGUUAAUUUAAGUGUAUUUAAAUUUUUAUUUAUAGUAUCUACUGUUAAAGUAUUUUUAAUUUUUUUUAUCUCCCAUGUCACUAAAAUUAAUCAUUUCAUCUCUUCUGUCACGUUUGUAGGUUUGUUGAGCACAUGUCCAUACCCUCUUGAAUGAUUCUAUUUAAUUUUAUCUUCUAUCGAAGUAAUAUCUAAUUGUUGAUGAAUAAAAAUAUUUUUUUCUUAUCAUUCUCGGUAACAACACACAUAGGGGUGAAAAAUCAAAGAGCAAGAUCCAAGAGACUAUAACAGAGACUAAUUGGGAUCUCUUGCAACCAAAAUUUGGUACUGGUCAUCCUUAAAAUUGAACAGAAGAAGUGGAUUUUAUAUAAAUGUAAUAUAUGAUAUGCAACAUUUUUUUUUUGUUGAUGGUCAACCUCAACAUCUUAUGAGAGAAGCUAACAAAUUUCUUCAAACUGUCAGUUGUUGUGAACUUAGUCAAAGACACUCAUAGAGCUCCGUUUGGAACUAGUACUAUGUUUUUGUCUUCAGCCAGAAACUAGCAUGGGCUAGGAAACAUUCUUAUCAUUAUUCCAGCAAACAAAUGUGAGGGAACCAAGCUUAGAAUAUUAGUUUUACUAAAUUUUACAAAAAAAAAUAGAUGCUGGUUAAUAGUGUCUUGUGAUAGCUCUUGGGUUUUCCGAUGAGUGCAAUUCAGAUAUACAAUUUGAGUUUCUAAUAAUGUUUUUUUCUAAGCAUUCUAGGAAGGCCUUGCAUGUGCAGGCUUCGCACUGGCAUUCUGUGCACGAUUCUCCUACAUUCUAGAUGCUGAUCAUUGCCAAUGGGGCCUAAGCCAUUUGGCCAAUCACUAAUCACAGGACAGAUUAAUGUUAGAGAACUUCUGACUUGGGCCUGAAUGUUUUCACUCCUAAGUUUGUAUUCCCUCCUUUCUCCUAUUUGCUUUCUGCUUUUAUACAAAAAACAUUGUGCAUAUGAUGGCUUUACACUUGAUCUCUGAGCUUUCAGGUAAGUAAUAUGCUGACCAGAACUCUCUGCUGAUGCACAAGUUUCUUUUUUUACUUUUUUCCCUUUUUGCUUGGUUUUUAUGAUAUUAGUGUCAAUCAAUGCAGUUUCAUUGUUAGAGUGUCGCUUAGCAGAGCUUUUUCAUUUUUCUCGGAUAUCCUCUUCUAGUAUGUUUCUGUGAAUUUUUAUUUAAAUUUAGUGCCAUCCUCGUUUGUGUUUCAAUUCUUUGAUUUAGGAAGGUUGUGAUUCUCAAAGACAAUUGGGCUUCUCUAUCUCAAGUUUGAUAGGGCAACAUGACCUUGAUGGAAUGCUUCUACAUGAGGGGUUAAAUUGGUAUCUCUCAAUCAAGAUAGACAUUGGUAUCUCUCAAUCAUAGUCCCAUAACAAGAUAGACAUUGGUAUCUCUCAAUCAUAGUCCCAUAACCUCUUUUAAUUUUGUUUUUAAGAUGUGACUUACAUUGUGUUUUGUACCUUUAUGUCGUGGCUGAGGUGUCGGCAUGGUUGGGUUCGUCCCGAGUGUGCAAGAUCACCAGCAUGGCCUCUGAGCUGGAGCGUGUUAACCCGAGGUUUGGUUGAGUGGGGGUAGACCUUGUUCUCUUAGGUGGAGGCUGAAGGUCACUCAUUUAGUUGUCCGUUGGGUGCUUGCACACAGGUCAUAAUCGGGAGGGGGAUUUUCGACCCGACCCCUCCGCUGCUUAAGCUAGCAAGAAUUGGAGAUGAGAGAGUUGGAGUGUGUGUGUGUGUGUGUGUAUAUUUGAGGUCCGACCCCAAUGCUAUUCUUGGGGGUGGCUUUAAUACUUGUUGUCGUGUGUUGACGUGCGUAGCUGUUAAUGGUCAUCGACGUCUUCAUACACAUGUGUUUAAAGAUGUCGUCGCCAUGGGUGGUCAGCUUGUAUGUUGGGACACGGGUGCAAUCUGAUAUGUCUGGCCCUGCUUCAUUUGGUGUUGCUUUGGAGUAGCUCAAGACGGGGCUACGUUGCUUCGUACAGCCUCUUGGUGCAAUGUGCUGGUGCAAUGUGCUAGCAACGUAGAUGACAAGCGGCUGCCUCGUUCAGAUCAGGGAUGUUGAGUUGGCUCAGUGUGCUUUGGAACGUUGUGCCAGGUCCGUGUUUGUGGAGUUGAUGCUAGAAUAUGCUAUAAUCACAUUGUAUUAGAUUUAACUAUUUAUGAGCGUAAUUUGAUCUUGGAAUUUUACUCGUAUGUGUUUGGUUGUAUGGAAGAUUUGUGGAUAACUCUUUCUUUUGUGAGCUUCUUUGCGAUUGUUUGUUCCUAAAACAGCUUCUGUUUCCCUUUAAGAAACAAGUAUUUACUCAUGGAAUUCUUACAAUUGAAGCAAUCGCCAUUUUCAUAUCAUAUUAGACAACAAUGUGUCAGCAGCACCUGUAUAUAAUAUUCACUGGUGCGUUGGGUGAGAUGAAACAACAUGCGUCACAACGUUAUGUAUUAUGUCUCGAAAGAAGUGGUCCAAAGUGUUUGGUUUAGCGAGUGAGAUCAGAAAUAUGACUUUACCUCAUUAGACUCAAAGCAAAGGACGGAAAUGCAGCCUUCGUUUGCGUCAAGUUUAGUUAGCUUGUUCCUCAAGAUUACUGUUGCUGGUCUUGUCUUGUGUCAGGUCAGUAGGUCCGUUUCUCAAUCUUUGUAUAGUGCAUGCCUCGAUGAUUAGGAGAAAAAGGAUGUAAGACUGCGAGCAGAGCAGACUUGUCAUAAUCUAUCGAUAUGACAAAGUAAGUACUACUGAUGAUAGGUACAAUUCGACGGUCCAAUUUGACUUAUUAAUAAAUAUAAAAAAAUAUAUAUUUAGGGUUUGAAACUGAAACAAAGAAAACAAUGAAACUGAGAAAAACACUCACUAGCUAUGGUGUAUAAUUCCAUUGUAGUAUGCUUCAAAUUUUACAGGCCUAGCUCUAAAGCUGUGUACAAUUAAUGGGCAGAGAUACAGGUUUGCCAGAAAUCAACAAAACUCAGGUAAUCAAGCGAGUAAUUAAUGGCGGAAAUCAACAAAAAUUCUUCAACACUCAAUCACAAGACCCGAAGAAGAAGAAGAAGGAGGAGGCGCAAAAAAGGAGCUUCCUUUGUGUGUCAUUGAUCAAGUGCAUCUGUCGUCGUUUCUUCCCGGACCUCCGUAGUAGAAAUAGUUCCCCCACACGCUGUUGAUCCCGCCUUGUACGUCGUAACAACUGGGGCGGUCUGCGAGCACUCGCAGGUUCGCCACGGGAAUCAAGCUGUUGUCCCAGUCCACCACCUGCAAGUUCCGGAAGUAGGAAGCCCGGCCGAAGCCUUCUCGGGCGUAAUGCCCGCUCCCCAUCUGGGUGGCGGUGUGCAGCCCCUGCGGCUGCGUGUUCACGAUCUCCCCCCCAAACUGCACCAUGCUCGCGUGCUCCGACAGGUGGCUGAACAAGAACGACGGCCAGUAGCCCACCAGCUCCCCCGACCCCAACUCCAGCCACCAGUUCCCAUGGUUCGGAUCCUACACAAACAACUCUGCUUCAUCUCUGUCCUUCAACGUUUUGUUUGACCGAUAGGUUCUUACCUUCCAGACAAGCAGGCUGAUGUCAAACUGGCCACCGUCGUACGUCGAUGUCGGGGAGAUGGCAGCUCCGAUGGCGAUCAUGUUGUUUGUUUGGAUGAAUCCAGAACACAAAAGAUUGUAGCAUCCGGUUGCUUGGUACGCGUCGGUCUUCAAGACACGGCAUGCUGAAUCAUUAGCCAUAUGAUCUCCCAGUUCGAAUCAGUGGUUUGUAUGACAAGGGAACUCACCGUCCAGUAUGUGAAGAACCUGGGAGAACUGUCACCGUAUAGCUGCGGACUCACCUGUGGCGAGAGAGAAACUGGAAUUGGUUUCCUCUUUUCGCUUGUAGUUCAAAUAGAGUUUAUGAUCGAGUACCUGCCAACCAGCUUCGAUGGUGUUGAGGUCAGUGCCGAAAGAUCCAGAGAUGACCCAUACUUGCGAUAAGCUGAACUCGGAAGGAUUCGUCACCUUUGGUGCCCACACAUUCAAGCUUGCUUUUGCGCCGUAGUAUUGAUCUCCCACCACAUAGCCCACUGCGUGCUGUAACCAUGUAGGAUCUUUACAGGUUACGGAAUACAGGCAUCGAAUGAGCAGAUUAAGCGACGAGCAUCACCCAAACAAUUAGCCGAGACUAACCUCGUGGCCGCCGGUCUCGGAAUCAUGCCUUGAUCUCACUGCCAGCUUCCGGCCAAACCUCUUGACUGAGCUGGCUCGCAGGAUGUCUUCUUCCUUCGUCCUCCUGAUCGGCACGGUUCCACCUGGACACGACUCACCAGAAACUCUCCACAGCUGGAAGCUGUUCUGGGUCGCGGCAUCAGCUCUGUGGCCUUUGGGUCUCUCUGGUGGAUCCUGCAAGCAGUCGAAAUCAACAGCUUUUUCUUCCCCAGUGUAACGCAGCGGUGAGAAGCUUUCGUUCUAUUACCAGAGGUUUCAUUCCUUUCAGUCUGGGAUGAUCGAAUGCUGGUUGAAGAUGAGAGAGCACGCAGUCGAUGGUAUCACCAUCUGGACUCUGUUCAACAGGCAAAAGACUAAGACUCGGAUUCCACGAAGAAGAAAACAACUGGGUUCUGAAACAACAAGUGCCUGAAUUGUCUUCACCGCAGGCUUGUUCAGCCUCCUGAGAUGAGCUCUGACGCGCCUGUAACUCCGAAGCUCUUCUCCUGGUCGGAAUGUGUUGUUGGCUGCGGCUUCCGAGAAGACAGGACUCAUACCAGCAAGCAGAAGAAGAACACCAAGCGAGAGAAGAACCAUCGGAAGAGUGUCGUAGCCGCCAGUGAAUCCGCCUUGUUUCCUUAUCUUCUUCCUCUUCCGCCGGACACUCUCAUCUCAGAUCAAACCUCUUCUGCAAUCAACUAAACCGCUCUGACUCCCACCAAUGACAUAUCAAUCUUCCUUCUUCUUCAAAAGAGCGUGGCGUAGCCUCCUCUGACAAGGCAUGAUUCUGUAACAUGAGGCAACCAAAAGAACAGGCUUAAUUGCUGGGGUGCUGCAGGUAUAAUAUAGUCCUCUCAUGCUGGGAUGGUAAUCAAGAUGUUGGGUGCUUAAAGUGAUGCCCACUGUUUCUUUUCCUCUUCUUCAUCUCUUUCUUUUGUGCCUAAAAUGAUGGGUUUUAUAGGUAGGCGUAGAAAAAGGAGGAGGAUGAAGCAUUGGAAUACAACUCACGAGGGACAGCAGCAUCUUUAGCUUUUCCUUUUUCCCUUCUCUUCUUUUCAUUUCUGGUUGUGUGGGGGUGCUGUGGGUGCAUGCAUGCUCUUUGGGUUUCCUCCAAGUACUUGCUUUUGGGGUUUAAAGGAGGCAAUCCACUCGAUUCUGGGUGUCUUUUUUUCUCAUGUUCCUAGAUGUGUGUUGUCAGUCAUUGUUUUCUUUGAGGGACCUCCGCCCUGUUUCCUUCCCUUUCCCUUCCCAUCCAACGUUUUGGAACCAUCCUUGGCAUAUGGCGUCUCUGCAACACAAGCUUCUCAAAAACCUUACAAAGAGGCAAGCUGUAAGUGGACAGAAUGCUCUGUCAUCUUGGGCUUCUCUUCUCCUCUCCCAUUCCAACAGGCAGAAGAACAGAGACUAAUGGCCGAAACUUGCUUGCCCCAGUCAAAGGAUUAAAGAUAUAUGUCAGUGCUUUCCCAGUGUAGGAACUGAGAAUAGAUUCUGAUCCCACCACGAAGCUAUAAUCUUCUUACCUGUGCAUUCUUAGAUAGGAAGACCGAACCAAAGAAUCCAUUGUGGCCGAAGCUUUUCUCUGUGUAAGGGACUGCAGAGAGGCCGUCCAAAGUUGGCCAAUAUAAUUAUGUCUCGAGUAUUACUGAGCUUUGAGAAAUAAGUGCAGCCAUCCAAAAAGGACACGCCGAGCACCGCAUGCCGCCUACAUAUAUACUAAUGCCAACCCAUCGAGUAUGUUUCUUCUCACAUGUCCAACACCAUGAAUCGGUCUUUACCAUGGCAUGUAUCAACCUCCUCACCCAUCAUCAUCAUCAUCAUCGAGGGAAUCCGAGAACGUCGAACGACCUUUCUCUUUUCCGUUCGGCUCAAACCGGGUCCAUCCGGUCCGCCAUUUGGCCCAGGUCUUCUCAUGGGCCGAGCCGGGCGCCUCGAUUCGAAACCGGUCCAAAUAACUAAGUGGUUCAUGCGGACCUCUUCGUUCGUCGUCGGCUGUUACCUUCUGUGUGUUAUGUACUGUAUAGUUAAUGGUAAUUAUUCGUCGCCACUCUAUAUAGCGGAGAGGAAAGAGAAGAGGCAGUGUGGAUAGAUGAUGGGUGUUCCGCCUCGGCCUACUUCGUCUGCUUCCUCCCCUUCCUCCUGCUCCUACCACUGGUGCUGCUCCUCCGUCUCUGCCUCCUCUUCCUCCUCCUUGUCUCCUUCCUCCUCUUCCCCCACCACCCUCCACAGGUAUUUCAAGGCAAGUAUUAUCUGUACUGAUUCCUCCCCUUUCCACCUUUUUUCUCUUUUUCCGCCCUUCACAGGAACUUCAGGUAUUGUAUCUUCUCCUCUUUGGUUCUUGGUCUUGUCUAUUUGGAAUUUGUAAUCAAAAUGAUGGUUUUUUUUUUUUUUAUCGCGAUUGUUUGUGCGUGUGAUGAUUUCCUUGCAUAAGUCUUCAUUGUCGCUGAUGCCUGCUGCUAUAUGGUUGGAUGCGUCUACUAAUUCAGCGCUGCUGUCGAAUCGACUGCGGCAGCGGGAAAGACUUGCAAGAAAACAGGAAGAAUUAGGGUUAAUUGAUCAAUGGAUAAGGAAGAAAACAGGAGGCCACAAACACCCGAACCAUGGAACAACUCGCCGAUAUUCUUUCAUAGAUUCCUGAGUUGCAGCCUAUAAACCUCCGAUUUCAAAUCUAUAGAUUAAUUAGUGGAGACAUGACCUAGAUUAAUUAUAUGUUAACCAAAGCUGAAAAGAAACAGAACGUUUUGAAGGUAGCGUUAAUUGGUUGGUUGUAAUUGUGUUUUACUGCGAUUGGCACCUAGAACCUCAUGGUGAUCACCUUAAGAAGGGGAAAUGGAGUUGGAUAAUUUUAUUUGACUUUAUCAUCAUGAUAUGAUUUGAAGGUUGCAAUAUCAUCCAUGCUUCUUUCAAAGGCUCGUGUUGACUUCUUUGGCAUCUAGGUUUUGGUCAAUGACUGUAAGGAAGUCAGUAUUUUUUAUAUACUCAAAUUGCAAAGUUGUGCCUUCAUAGACAGAUAUCCUCCUACAUGCAGGAAGUUGUCUUUUGUGUUUGUAGAUGGUGAAUUUUUAGUUGAAUUGAUCAUAACAUCCCAAAGAACAGUAUUUCUCCAACAGUGAUGGUGUCACUGUCUGGACUUCCAGAGAUGACAGCAUUUUUGGUAAUGUUGCAAUCUUAUUAAAGGGAUAACUUAGAUCAUAGUAUUUAUUGACUGCUGACUGAAAAAGUGAUUGUAUGUCUGUUUCUUUUUUUUUUCCUAUUUGAUGGUCUUUCUUCUCUUUCUUUCUUCUGCUGGUUUUCUCCGUGUCCACUGUCUUUGCAACAAAAGUAAUUCUUUUUGCUUUAAAUUUUGUCUUUUGUUUUUGUGUUUAUUAGAACGCAGAAUGUUUCUUUAACUUUCUCAGAUGUGAUUCUUACCUUGUUCUUUGCUGGAGAGAUGAACAUGUUACACCUUUAAUUUUAAUAAUUAGAAUGAAAAGCUGAUUCACAUAAUUUCUUUUAGUCGUAGAUAUUAGAUUAUGAAACAAUCUAUGAACGUUGCCUAGGUUAAGGUUGAAGGCUUUAUUAUUAAAGAUGUGACCCUUGGAUCCAGGCUACAUCAAGGUGAUAUCAAAAUGAAUAUUGCCAUCAAGGAACAAUCUUUAAUAGCACUUUGCGCAUUGCAAUGGUAGAGGAACCGUAUGCAAACAUAGAUCACUUCACUGCAUAUUGCGGCCAUCCACCGCAAGACUUCAACAAAGAGCUGUACAUCUACAAUUAUAACAGAAAUGAUAGUUGAAAUGUAAGAAGAUUUGAAAUAUACCUUUCGAUAGGUGUAACGAGUCACUUGAGGAAGAACGAGCUGCAGGAACUAAAGAUGCAGAAUUGAUACCAUGGAAGAAUCAGCUUUAUUGAAGGUCAAUUUAUGGAAGAACAAGUUAAAGCAAUAUUAAAGAUGGAUGUUGGGAUGAAGUUGUUAAUUGAAAUGGAGCAAAUCCAUUUGAAUGUCCGUCCAAAUUAAAAGAAGCAUCAAAGACCAGAGUAAUGAUGCAAGAGAUUCAUCGAUAUUGAUGCCUUUUUUUCACAGCAUAUGCUGGCUCAUGCCAAUUGGAAUGCAAUUCUUGAAAAGCCUUUACAGUUGCAAAUAUUGUUGGAGGACAAAUGUGUGAAAUCUCUGUUAUAUAUCUUGAAAUAAAUAAAAUAAAAACCUUUGCGAUUGGUGAGUCAUGGCCACCCAUUUCAUGUUAUUGUGUUUGUCUCUUUUCUCUCUCUCUCUCUCUCUCUCUCUCUCUCUCUCUCUCUCUCUCUCUCUCUCUCUCUUAACCAUUGCUGCUAUUCCAAUUGUACCUUCUCAGUUGGCAUCGAGGAGGUGCGUUGAUGGAAAGAAAUAUGAGAUAAAACCACAUAAGAUCCAAGGUACCCUUUUUCAUAUUAAAAUACUCUUUUUGUCUUCAUUUUUUUCUUGUAUUUGUAGUAUGUACAAAAUCUGUGUGCUUAAUUGUAUCAGGAAAACCAGCACAUAAUGUAUAUAGAUAUGUCAGAUCAAAGAAUCAGUUUCUGAUUAGGCGGCUAACUCCUCUUGCUACAUCUGAAGACCAGUCAUCCUAUACUGAGCUUGAUUUGGAAAGUUUGGAGUCAGAAAAGUUAGAUUUGGAUAAUCAAGAUGGCUCUUCAAAAAGAAGUUUUUCUUAUUUUACUGGGAAAUCUGAAGGGAAACCAGGGUUUAUCUCAUUCCAUGGUUAUCAUUCCAUAAAGGGAGAUGAAGUUGGAUCUACUCCAACCAAGAAAACAUCCAAAAUUCUUUGGUUUAUUGGUCCGACCGUCUUGGUAGCCUUCUUGGUUCUCCCAUCACUUUAUUUGCGAAAAAUACUUUCUACCUUUUUCGAGGACUCUUUAUUAACAGGUACUAUGUCUUGUAUACUUUAGAAGUCCAAUCUUUUGAUAUUCUAUUGAUGCUAUUUAUUAUACACACAUAUCUGAGUUUUAGCUGGCUACUCCAUUUUGCUUGGUCAGACACCAUUCUUGGUGUGGUAAUUACUGUGUGAAUGUUUGUGAAUAUAUGUAUGCAGUUUAGUGGUGUGGAUGCAGUACAAUAACAGUUCCAUGAAGGCAUUUAAGAUCAUGUAUAAGUUUCUUUGAGUGAAGGUGUUACUUUUUUCUGGUAGUUUGAUAGACAUUUUUCAAGUAGUUCUAGUAUGCAAAUUAUAGUAUGUCUUUCAUAUAAUCUUGUGUGUUGAAAGGUAGCCUUGCUAGCAAAGUUUCGGAAAAGAUACUUUUACUCGUGGAGCUUUUACUCAUGGAAAAGGGGGCACAUAAUGAACUCUAUUGGUAUGAACUUGGGAUAGAUGUUUGUUAAUCAUUCUUAAAUGAUCACUAAGGUUUAUAAUUACUAUGUUGAAAAUUAUAACAUGAUAAAACUUUAUUUUCAUUCUCAACCUGAAAGUAUCAUUGGACAUGUUGAAGCAAAGCUGAAGAGGUACAAACAUAGAACCCUAUCACUUGAUUUGAUGUACUAGUGUCAGCGAGAAGGACAUUUAUUGAGGAAUUAAACAAUUGUGUCUCAUGUGAGUUUUGAGUGAUCUGUUUGUUAUGUUGGAUUUCUUCUUCUGGGUUUAAUUUGGAAUACAACCUUCAAGAUUUUACAUCUAACAUGCCCGGAGGUCUCAUCAUGUUCCACACUUUCACAGUCCCAUAGAUUCUUUUUAGCUAAAGAGAUGAUGAUAAUUUGUUUCUGUCAAAACACUACCUCAAGCCUAGUAAGUCUUCACUUGCUACAUUUACAUGGUUCACCUUAGAUAGUGCACCCAUGGACUGAAGAUGGUCGAAGGAUUCUUUAUUAAGCAAACCACUGCAAGGUAUGGCAGCAAAAAAAUGGGUUGCCAUGCCAGCUGGCACAUCUCAUGCCAACACAAUGCCGGCACCAAUUUGCCAGGAUUCUAUGUUUUAAAGAUCCAAUGAUAAAAUCUGGAUAAAAAUGGUCAUAGAAAAACCCUAACCUACACUGGGCUAGGAUCCUGUAGUUAUAACAAUGAGGGCCAUAUGAUGGAUGAAGCAAUGCCUAUGAUAAUAAGAUUCAACAUUCCAACUUGAUUGUCUUAUGUAGUAAAUAUCAUCUUCUCUAGUUUUUAGAAAAAUUUUUCCAUGUUCUAGAAUGACAUCUUUGUGAUAAAUAAGUAUAUAUGAUAUAUUGAAAUUUGAUCGGGAUAAAGAUUGACCAUCCUUUGGUGAACUCUUUUAUUUAUUUGUUCUGGCUACAGAUGUUGCAACAGUGACAUGACAUUGCGACAGCAAUGUGAUUCACAAAAAUGUUGAAACCGAAGCCUAAGCUUGAGAUCUUAUGCACUCCAACUGCAGUAAUUGAAAUACCUUCCAAUUUGUUUUGAAUCAGUACUUAUCCUGGACCGAACAAGUGAGAGUUCCAAGGUUGAAUGAAAUUAUUUCCUUCGUGAUUGUUGUUCUGCCUUUGCUUUUCAGGUUAAUUUGAUUAUUUGAUGUAAUGCAACACGAUUCCAUCUCUUUUGCCCAUUUGUUUCUCUUCCUGGUUUUCCUCUUAUGAUAUUUCCGGUACCAAGGCAAAAAUUUUGUUCAAAAUUUUCAUCAACUGUUGCUUCUAUUUUUGUGGUCAAUGGAGUCUGGAAACUCAUUACUAAAUAAUACUAGGUUGCCACCAUGACGUUCUGAUGCCUUGCUGCUCAAUUUUACGAAAUUGAUUGUGGUAGUAAUUUUUUUUGUUUAUAUGUGCAGAUUUUCUCAUACUCUUCUUUACAGAAGCUCUUUUCUACAGUGGAGUUGCAAUCUUUGUUCUGCUAGUGGAUUCUCUAUGGAGACCUGUACAGGACAAAGCACCUAACCAUUACUACUGGUUGAAAACCCAGUAUGGCCUUCGUGUAACUUCUGUAACAACAUUGGUUCUGACCCUUAUAAUACCUCUUUUGACCAUGGGCUUGGUCUGGCCAUGGACUGGGCCAGCAGCUUCGGCUACUCUAUCACCGUAUUUGGUUGGCAUUGUUGUACAAUUUGCUUUUGAGCAGUAUGCUCGUCAUAAAAAAUCACCUGCUUGUGCAGUUAUACCUGUUAUUUUCCAGGUGAGUGCAUCUGCUAAUCUUGAAUUACUGGCAGAUAGCUCAUAAUAUAAAAAGUUUUCAUUCCUCCAGAUAUAUAGACUCCAUCAGUUAAAUAGAGCAGCUCAGCUGGUGGCGGCACUAUCUUUUUCAGUUAGAAGUGCCGAAAAAACAUCAUAUACAAUGGCCAUAAGCAACUCCUUGGGGACUUUGUUGAUUGUCCUUCAAAUCCUCGGCAUAAUUUGCGUUUGGUCACUCUCAAGCUUCCUGAUGAGAUUUCUUCCUCCUUCAGAAGUGAUCACCUAGCCUUCAUAUGGUUCCAAGGUUUGCGACUAUCGAAAUAUUAUUCUAGAGCUUUUCUUGAUAGUUUCCAUGAUUUCAUCUUUCCUAUUGGUUUGCCUUGGUGAUAAAAUAGUUGGACAAAAAAAUCUGCACUGUGUUAUUGAUACAACCUGCUGCUUCAGUGCAGAAAUCAGAUGAACAUUUGUGUGACUUUGGAGCCUGGACGUUUGGAUGCUACAGGGAAACAGAACCUGAGGAGACCCAAGAAUGGUUGGACAAGGGGAAUGUGAAACUGAGUAACUCCCUCCUUUUUCUUUAUUUAUUUUCUUUCCCUUUUGUAUUUUCUUUGAUGCAUAUGGGAAUUCAAUAUGUGGCUAUUUUGAAUAACCAUGUGGUCUCAUCAUGUAAUGUCCACAUUUAUUGGAACCAAAUAAUUAAAAUUCCGUGACUGAUCUCAUCAGUAUUAUUACUGCUAACUAUUUCUAUCAUCAUCAGUACUAUCUAGUUCAUGGUUCAUUGGGACACUGCCAAUCUUGGGGUAGAGUUCAUGUAUUUACUAAUGUAAAACUUGGAUGAGGAUGUCUUCAUCAAAAUUAUGUUGAUCAACUACACAUGAAUUGGCUUACUAUUGUGUGCAAUCAAAUCCAAACUUUAUGUGGAUUACUUAUUUUAUGCAUAAAUUUUAUUUUAUUUUCUUGUUGUUAUAGACAAUUCUCAUCUGUGCAUAUAUUUUUAGGAAAUAUUAAAAAAUGUGUAAUUAAUAUGACUGAAGAAGAUGGUUUAUAAAAUAAUAAAUUAGGCAAUAAUUUUUUAUAUUUUAUUUUUUAAUUAGAUUUUGGAAGAAUGAACAACCCAUUAUUUGGAUUCACAAUUUUUAAAUAUUUUUACCAACUUAAAUAGAGAUAUUUAUCCCAUAAUAUGAUUACUAAGUCUGAUAAAUAAUUUAAUCAUAUGGAUAUUAAUUUAAUAUAAAAUUUAUUUUCUUGAGUGAGCUCAUCAAGACACAUCAAUGAAAGCCAAUUAAUAUUUAUUUGAGACUCUUAUUCUUCAUCUAAUACUAUCUAGAGCAUCGAAGAAAUCUCAUCGAGAGAUUGAUUAUUCGAAUUAUGCAUCUGAAUUAAAUUAGGUUCAUUUAAACAUCACCCACAUCCAUCACAUCAAAUACUUAAAAAUAUUAAUAUAAAAUUUUAGAUUUUAUGUGAAAUCAGUCUCGGUAAAUAGAUUUAUUGCGUCAUCGUCGGACCAAUAUCAUGUAAGCAUGUGAGGAUAAUUACACAUCGCCCACUGCCCAUGGUUUUAAGUUCCCCACAAGAAGUUUUCUGUCCGUGAGUUGGAUGUGGGUCCCAUCUGCCACGUGAAAGGCCACCCGACCCCUUAAAACGCGUAUGGGUGGGCGACAGAGUCAACCAACAGCGGUAGCACAUUUUCACUGAUCCUUCAAGACUUUUGGGAUCUCACGGCAUCCUUUUUGACUUUGACUUUGGAGUGUCGCCCCGACGACUUGUGGUUGACCGACCAUCCUAAAAAUCCCUGCCCGCUCCGAACUUGGAUUGAGCUAGAGACGGGGGAGGAGGGUUCUUCCCCAUCGCAAUCACCCACUACAAUCCAAAAGCGUCGGGUACUCCCUCUGGUUCUCUAUGUUCUGAUCCAUGUAUGUAUGUGUGGUCUUCUCCCCUCGGAUUUCUGAUUUCGCACUUGUUCUUGUCAUAAAGUAUUACGGCCCGAUUUAUAGCUGUCGCGGAUGUUUCUCUUGUUUCUUGCUCCUACUGCUCAAAGAUUUGCAAGCAAAAUCUGUCAGAACUUGGUUUUGUUUCCUCCUCAUAGUUAGAAUCAAUCUGAGCGGAGGUGUCCAAUUCUGGCAAAGAGCAAAAGAGCAAGAAGAUGAGUUGGUUCUCGAUACCUGCAAAGGGUUCCCACUAAGCUCCGAAACAUGAUGUGAAAGAACACUUGUUUUGACAUCUACCACUUCCUUCUUGAAUUAACUUGAUGUUUCCGUCCUGUUCUUUAAGCAAACAAACUUGGUGGACAGUGAAUACAAUGUACAGAGCAACUUCGGAAAGAAUGUUCUGUAGAUACGAUCACUGAGGCUCUCUCUUCAUCCGGUGUGUGGUUAGGUAUUUAUGGUCUAAAGUAAGAAAUGUGACUCAAUUUCUGUUCUGAUUCAUAUUGAAAUUAACUUGCAAUGUUCUUUUUUCUUCAUGGAUGGAUGUUUACGGUUUUGCUAAUUCGACAGAUAGAUCUGGUACUUGUUGUGUUAUGAAGAAGAUUCGAAGUUCCGACACUCAUCCGAUGUCUACGGUUGGUUUGAUCGUCCACCCACUGGUUUUCAUGUUCCUAUAUGGAUUCACCAGAGGAGAUCCAAGAUCUGAAACGGUUGAAGUCAUGUGUGGGAGACAAUUGGAACAUAAUACCACAGCUUAUGUUCCAAAUUUCCUUGCUGUAAUGGAUAAUGUCGGCAACCAGAUACGAGCGGGCGGUUUUGGAAAAUCAACAGUGGGCUCCGGACCUGAUGGAAACUAUGGAUUAGGUCAAUGCUAUGGUGACCUUUCUUCUCUAGAUUGUGCUUUGUGUUAUGCUGAGGCGCGAACUGUUCUCCCCAAGUGCUUCCCCUAUAAUAGUGGACGUAUAUUCCUUGAUGGUUGCUUCAUGCGGUCAGCGAAUUACAGCUUCUUCACGGAGUACACAGGUCCUGAAGACAACAUAAAAUGUGGGAAUGCGACCCGUAAAAGCAGAGUCUUUGAACAGAUGGCUCAGCAGGCUUUACAAGAGGCCACCGAUAAGGCACCCGGAAAUGGUGGCUAUGCAAAGGCUUCUGCUCUGAGAAGUGGGGUCUUGAAUGAGUCGGCUUACGUUUUGGUCAAUUGUUGGCGGACGUUGAAUGAGAGCUCGUGCAGGGCUUGUCUCAAAAAUGCAUCAGCUUCAGUGGUUGGAUGCUUACCUUGGUCAGAAGGCCGCGCACUCAACACAGGAUGCUUCUUGAGAUAUUCGGAUACAAACUUCUUAAACGCUGACCAAAGCAGCGGGCUCGGAAGAAGUAUGUGAUAUUAGACAGAUCAUAGAUUUCUUGAUAUGAUUUACGAUCAUAAUAGUUUCUUUUAGGUACUCGUUCUUCUUGGCUGAUACACAGCUUUUUUUGUUGGACAUAUAUACAGGAAGCAUCAUUGCUAUGGUUGCUGCUAUCGGUAGUGCUCUGAUGGUUAUUGGUGUUGGGCUUACAGUAGGAGUGUUUAUGUGGAAGCAAAGGAAACUGAAAAAGAAAAGAGGUAAUCGAGUAUACUAGCACAUGUAAACUGUUCCAUUGUGCGACAAGAUAUCAUGACUUUUUAUGUACAAGAUGCUAGCAACUUCGUUUCAUAAGUAGCAGAACUAUGUUUAAAUUCAACCUUUGCGAUCAUCUAAUGGUUGUAUUAUGCAUAUUCUUCAGGUGCAAAUAAUGCUACGAGAUUGGCAUCAGCCCUUUAUGAUAGUAGUUUGAAUUUCAAGUAUUCCACACUCGAGAAAGCUACUGGAGGUUUUUCCAUUUCCAACAAGCUUGGGCAGGGAGGGUUUGGAACAGUUUACAAGGUAACGAACAAAUCACAUUUCCGUCAGAAUUUUUUGGUGCUAUUUUUCUCAUUUUCUCGGAUAAAUAAGCUCGAUGGACUAUAUUACCAUAUAAAAGAAUCAGGAAAAUUCUGCAGUUGAAGCAGAGAAUCCAUGAUCAAUAUCUCGUGUUUGAUAAACUUGCAACUGGUUGAUAGGGAACUCUAUCUGAUGGAAGAGAAAUUGCUGUGAAGAGGUUAUUCUUUAACAAUAAACACCGGGUUUCAGAUUUUUACAAUGAAGUUAACAUAAUCAGCAGUGUGGAGCACAAGAACCUUGUCAGAUUGUUGGGUUGCAGCUGUUCGGGACCUGAAAGCCUACUUGUUUACGAGUUCCUUCCAAACAAGAGCCUUGAUCGUUUCUUAUUUGGUAAAAUACUUACGAGACCAUUUUGAUACUGUUGUUGCUUCAGUCUGGCAACUAAUAUGACACACUCUAAUUCCUUCCUCUUAUAACAAGUGUCAAUACUGCAAUUGUAGGACCAGAAGUCUAUAUGCUAGUAGAAUUUUUAGCUGUGUCCGCAUUUAAUUUUUGACAGCUGCUAUUUUCACAAGCAUUGCCUCUUCUCCCAAUUUUGCUGCAUGAUUAAUCUAUUUUUAUUGUAACAAAAUGCAUUCUACAUGGUUUUGACAGAUCGGGAAAACGGUAAAGCAUUAGAUUGGCGUAAAAGAUUUAACAUCAUUACCGACACUGCUGAAGGUCUGUCGUACCUGCACGAGAACCCCAAGGUCAAAAUCAUUCACAGGGAUAUCAAAGCAAGCAACAUUCUGUUAGAUUUAAAGUUUCGAGCUAAAAUUGCCGAUUUUGGACUAGCAAGAUCAUUCCAAGGUGACAAAAGUCAUAUAAGCACGGCGAUAGCAGGAACCCUGUAAGUAAUCUUGCCUCAUCCUUCUGUUUAAAGUGCCAUGGAAUGCUUGAAUGAGCAAAACAACUCUUUUGCAUCACUUAAACUUUGUAUCGCCUGGCAAUUCACAUGCUUUCUUGUGCCUACUAUUUAUGUAUGCUUGAUAAAUUUCAUCAUCUGCUUACAGAGGCUACAUGGCUCCAGAAUACAUAGCCCAUGGACAAUUAACAGAGAAGGCCGAUGUCUACAGUUUCGGGGUGCUUAUGAUAGAGAUUGUGACUGGAAUAUCUAACAAUAGGAGCAAAAUUUGUGAAUAUGAUUCUGAGUCCUCGGAGAGUUUGCUAACUCAAGUAAGUGGCUGACCAUAAACUGCUAUAUUAUUCUAUGGAAUUUGUUAGUAUCACCUAUUGUUUUAGGGUUGUCAUGUUUGAGAAUAAGGCCUUUGAGGUGGUCUAACGUUUCUUAAAGGUGAUUUUCCCAAGAAAAAAAUUUUCACGGUCAUGAUUUCAUGUCUCUUCGACAAUCACAUGAAGGUUCCUAUUCAUAUAGAGUGACCAAGGGGAUAUUCUUCUCAUCGAAAAUAUUAUAGAGAAUGUUUUUCCAUACGACUGAUUAGAAUUCAGGUGUUGAAUCCUAAUUGGUCGAAAAUAUCAACCAUAUUAGUUCAAGUGUAUAUUUAAGCCUCGGCUAAGAUGCCAUUAGACCUUCCAAUCACAUGAAUGAUGUGUUGAAGUCCCUAGAUAUGCACAUUCACGGUAUCUGCUCUAUGAGCAUAAAAAGUGAAGCAUAAGAAAGAACAUCAGUAACAAUAUUGUAUGACCGAUGUCACUAAAUGUCUAAUCUGUGGAUGUGUAGGCAUGGAAGCAUUUUCAAUCAGGAACAGUGGAACAGUUGAUGGAUCCAAAUAUAACUCUGGACAGAUACGCAGAUGGCGAUGCUGUGAAAGAGGAAGUGAUGAAGAUGUUUCAUGUUGGACUUCUAUGCACCCAGGAGAUCCCGACAUUUAGGCCGUCGGUCUCUUGUGCAUUGCAGAUGCUAUUGGAUCGGGAGAAGCAGCCACCUGCACCCACCAAACCACCUUUUACUGAUGAUGCUUCCAUGGAGCUAAAUGAAACCAAGGAAAACGUAGAUUGGCCUCGAGAUCCUUCCUCCAUUGCCAAUGUCUCAACCGGCUCCUAUGAUCCACGAUGACAGUCUCCAGUCUCCAUGGUGAUCUACGAGUGUCUCCAUAUGGGGAAUAGUAUGCUAUUCCUAGGUAGAUUAUAAGACUCAAAACCAAAUAGGUAUGACCAUGAUAUAUAGAUUUGAAGAAGUGGCACCAAAAGGCACAAAAUCUAGCAAGUGUGAUGUGAAGAUGCUGGUUUUAUUCUUGUUUGUGGGUUUUUAGGAAACGAUUUUAGUAAGUCUACUUGUAUGGAGAGUGAUUAGUCUUUUUUUUUAUAAAUUAUAAAAAAAAAUUAUUAUACCAAAUGACAUAUAUGACAUUUACACAUGGAUUCAUUUUUGUAAUAAUGCACUAAUCAACACGAAUGUCUCGGUAGAGUUGGAGGAUAAAUAGUUAGAUGUAGAAGUUGCGAAUGUUAUGUUUUCUAUCAUUUUUGUAAUAAUGCAUAAUGCACUAAUCAAUACGGAUGUCUUAGUAGAGUUGGAGGAUAAAUAGUUAGAUAUUAAAAAUUUGAAUGCAAUAAUAUGCAAAUAACAAUCACUAUUAUGACGAUAACAUAGACGGCCGAAGAAGGUCUCGGGAUGAUUUCUCAUGAGAAUAACUCUCUUGCGGAUCUCGUCGGACUUCAAAAAACUUAUGCGAGGUCUCAAGAUGAUCUCUCAUGAAAAUAUCUCUCUUGCGGAUCUUAGCGAACUUCAAAAAACUUACACACUUUACGAAGAAUCUUGACGAAAUCUCAUGGACCCUCUGCAACUUGACGCUCCACAUCUUUCAUUUUGCUAAGAAGACCAACACAGACGAAUGAAACCAUAUUGCAAGACAGCACAACUCCCUGGCUCACAAGCUAACAAAUUUCCCAAGACAACUAACCUUCUUUUGUUGGAGAAGCAAUUCGCCACCUGACUCUUUAUGUAGAACUCUUUAAUCUAAGUUGACAUAUUUUCCUUUAAUCAAUCACGGUUUUGGCAGCAUCAUUCCACACUUCAUGUCCAUGAUUCAACACUUCAGUCGAUUCAAGGUAUCUCUCGUACAUCAUGCGAUAAUUGAAUCACUUUGUACACAUCUAUUCACCAAAACCAUCAAUUUUUGUUGGCUUGAGAUACGCAAAAAGAAUGCAAUGCAAAUCUCUAGCCAAUAAUAACAACAACCAGCAAGCACAAAAGAUCCAACGAGCUUACCCAUAAACUUCACUGGAUAGAGUGGAUAAGAAGGUUUAUCCAGUUAGCAAAGACCAACAAACGGCGCAAGCAAAGCACGACAUAUAUGUACACACAUGCUUAACAAGUAGCAUAAGGUCCCGAUGCCUACUGCUCAAAACCAUCUUCUUCGCCAUCAUCAUUGAGCAUUAUUAGAUCCUAGAAAAGACUUCUAAUAACCCCCUUGGAUAUAUGCGUUGAGGCGGUUCAGCUCCUCACGAUGCUCGCUCACCACGGCUCGAACAACAUCACCGAUGGAGACCAUGCCGAUCAUACCGUUGUUGUCAAUCACAGGGAUGUGCCGGAUGCGGUUAUCUAUCAACAAAGAAGACCACAACACAUUGAUGUCACUUUGUAUAGCCACUACUUACAUGCAACUAAUGGUAUGUAGAACACAGCAAACCUGUCAUAAGUUGCAUUGCCCGCAGAACUUUGGUAUCUGGUGUCACAGUGAUCAAUUUGUUCUGGUCACAAGAGGCCAAUGAAGUUUUAGCACGACAGGAAAAAGAAAUGCAAGUGAAAGAAGUACUUCACUAUUUGUUGAUUUUAAGGAGAGCAGCGUUUGUACAACUCCACCAUAGAGAUUAUUAUUUGCUGCAAAUUCUGCUCCUUAUAUGAAUUAUUCAGAUCAGUAUAGCAUAAUUUUGAAUACCGGGGCAAAGGAAAUGGACAAUCUUAUUUUAAACAAGCAGCAUAUUGCAACAAUAGCAGCUCGAAGUUACCUCCUCAGUCAUGAUGUCUCCAACUUUAGUUGAUUUGGACGAUCUGCCCUGGACAAUGAUCUUCCGGAGAUAAUCUGAAAAAUGAAAAUCUUCAUCCUUAGUGAAUGUCCAAAAUUGCACAUCCACAUGAAGAUGAUUGAGGAACAAUUACUGUGAAUAGCAGAAUGAUAAUUGUAUUUGCCAGAACAAAUCAUUAGAAACGGUUCUCUAAUUUUUCAUUCAUCUUUUUCAAAAAAAAUUCUUGUCAUCUAGCCUUGUGAGUCUCUAAUUGAGUGACACACAACCCAAUGGCUCUGGUGGUACACUUGUGUGCCUCCACUUGAGUGUCCAAAAACAAGUUUGCCUUUGGCGAAACUGCCACUAGAUUCUAGUGGUACUCCACCACAGAACUUUUAGGUCUGCAUAAGGCUCUCAGCUUAUUUCUCUAGAGAAGUAGAUCUUCCACCAGCCACUAAAUUAGACCACAUUUUCUUCUCCUUUUUUGUGCCUGAACACAGGCAUGUGCAUGUGUGUACAUUUGCGCAUGCAAGAAAAGGCACAUUAGUUCCGUGUGAAUAUAUGUUUUUGUACAAGUAGCAAUUCACCAUUAUCAAAAUAGUGUGUCGAAUAGUGACUACCUCUCUCAGUGACAAUCCCAGCAAUUGCCUUGUCUUCUCCAGGUUUCACCACCACUAAAGCACCAACAUUGUGUUGUGUCAUCUGAAAAUGCUCAAAGCAAACAGGGCAAUUUACAUGAAUAACAGCAGUAAUGUGCAUAUGCUUGUAAAUACCAUAUAUGUCAGGUUUCACAACACAAUCCCAUGCCAAACAAUUAACAAUCAAAUAUUAUGGUUAAGAAAAAUCAUACCGACUUCACAGCAUCAUAAACACUGUCAUCAGUUGUGCACCACAGCCAGGAACCAUCAGCACUCUUGCCUUUAGCUUUCAUAAUAUCCCGGAUGGUGGUGCUUUCAAAUCCAUGCUCUUCCAAUCGAGCAGAAGAAACUGACUCAAAACGUGAAAACACAGUAGGUAGCGUGGCUGGGUUCAUGACACGAAUAUGUUGGAGCAUAGCAUUUUUAAUAACAUUUCCAUGCAAUCGUAAUGAUCGGAGUGCUCCCUGCAUUUCUCCUGGCAAUUAAUGGUGCAGUCAUUAGACCAUUUGAUUAUCCAACUCUAAAAGAAACAAGCAUCUCAUCUCAGAAUCCACCAUACUCAUGCAGCUUAAAGGAAAGAUACACGAUGAAAGACUUGCUUCAACGAUUAAAGAAUGGAACAAGACAUAAGGCAUGGAAUAACAAACCAUUUCCUUUUGGAUUGCAUAUUAUCCUUUUAAAAUAACAUCCUUCACCGUCCACGAGACUAAUAAUAGAACUUCAGAACGAGACUAAUACUAGAACUUCAGAAGAAAAGUCCAUAACAUGGAGCCUGAUCUUUGAAAAAAGGCCAAGGUUAGCUUUUAAAAAUCACAUGUUUAAUGCUGUUCUGAACCUUCCAACUAUCUUGUCUAACUUGCUCCUGGAAAAUCAGUUUCGGUCUAUAGAUUUACGAGCAGGCUAGCUUCAGGAAAGUCAAUCUGUAACAGGCAGAGAUAUAGAGAUGACACAGCGGUACAUUGUGUCACACUACCGGAAGCUUGCCAGUAACUUUUGCCAACAGAAGCUUACCAUAUUGCAACAAUGCAGAAGCAUGAUGGCUUGCAAACAUCCUCUUCGUUCAAAAUAUUUCUCAUCUCCAACGAAGCCACAAAAGAUCCAGCUCGAGAAGUUUCAUGUGGCAUGCAUCUUAAAUCUUACCAUCCUGAUGGUACUUGAACAACAGCAUAAAGCUUGGAAGUGAGUCCACCUCAAAAAGACAAGACUAAGGUCUUUCAAACCCAGCCGCUAGUACUACACACUAGUUAUAUUUAGUUGAUUUAUUUGUAGCUUUUGAGAUGAGUAUUGCUUCCUAGAUAACAAGCUUGUCAUUUGUAUGAGAUUCUAGGCUAUUUUUGUUCUGGAGAUGUCUUGAAAGUCUCGACAGAUUUUUAGGAACCAUCAAAAAGCCCCUCAGAUUUUUUAAACAACACGUCCUUCGCAAGGAACUUAGCACCGACAAUUGCGGUAGACAUCAACAUGUGUCAUAAACAUUUUCAAAGCAAAAUGCCAACCUUUGUACAGAUCCAAGACUGAAAUCACUGUAAUAAACUGCCUUAUGUAGCUUCUCCACCCUUAUCAGCUAAUGAAAUCUCAUCCACAACUUGUAUUCCGCUCCUAUGACUCGAUUUUACAUUUCAAUCAAAAGAGGACAAAGCAAUACGCUCUCGAUCCACACCACCUAAUUGUUUUGAUAAACGAGAUCUCCAUUUCUUUUGAUCAUUUGGUUCUACGUUUUGAUCAAACAAGUGUUCAAAUUUCUCCUUUCUUAUUCCUCCUAUUUUUUAUAAGAAAAAAUAACAGAAAGAAAAAAUAUUACGAGACCGAAAAAAAUCCGCACUUUUUCACGGCCUUAAACAUACACUCUGCUACUCAUUUGUAUCAUCAUGGGAGACAUUCUCAGAAAACAAGGAGGCAAAUAUCUCACCCACAAAGUACUGGAGAUCUGGACGGGAUCAGAUAAGGAGAGAUCGGAAUCUCCCACAAAAGCUAAAAGCUUUAAACGAUAGGAAAGCAACCACGGACAAACAAAAACGGCUGGAAGAAAAUUAGAGUGAAACGAUGAAGAAAUAUCACGCUGCUGCUGCUGCAAAUCGUGCAUAAAGGAUGAAAGAGUUGACCGAAGGAGAAGGCAGGCGGUCAGUCUACCCGAGGGGUCUCACCUCGAGAAGGAAGGCGGUCUCACCGACCGAUAUGGACGGAUCGAUCGUGUGAGAGAGAUAGAGAGUUGAUAGCAGAGGAGUGGAUAGGGGAGCGUCGGCGGCGGCGGCAGGGCACACAAGGAAACCCUCAUAAAUGAAGUCGCCUUCCUGUCAUAACAACGUCGCUUUAUGGGUGUCGUCAUUAAUGCGCAUAAACAACCAAAUGAUACGUCAGUUGAUAACUACGCAUCUUUUCUUCCUAAUCCGAACCAAUGACUUGCAGGAAGCCCAAUGACCCAACUAUUUUAGUAAUCUUCCACAAUAUUCCUAAUAACAUUAUGACUAAAUAUUUGUUAUAUUUUUAGUAUCUCUUUAUUCAUUAUUAAUUUUUUUACCAUAACUAAUUAUUUGAAUAUAUUUCUGAUAUAAUAAAAUUAUUUUGAUGAUCAAUUAGUAUAUGACAUCUAUCGUCACGUGGAGAUUGGCACGGAAGGAAAGAGUCUCUAUCACCUUUCAUUCGGAUGACCGUUCAAGCUUGUCUCAUCUCUAUCGCCUAUGCAAACAAAAUGUCAAAGGAGGAAGUUGUGAUGGUUAUAGGCUUGUCUCCUCUUUUGACUACGUAUAAAAGCUAUACUCGAUACUAUGCCAAUGACUUUCUUUUCCAGAAAAAAAUUGAUAUAUCAAAAGAACCUUGGACUAACUUGAACAUCGGAAGGAUCGGGUCAGAAAGCGUCUUCCGACAUCGGUCUUAAUAUAAGUAAUGCUCAAGAAGCUCAGCUCCCACCCCGGAGCCACUCAAGAACUACUUUAGAGUCAUAUUGGAUGUUUUUGUGCCCUCAGGCUUGGACCACGUUGGGUCGACUCAAAUGUCAAUAACAAAUUCUCAUAAUAUUUUGGCUCUAGAAGGAGGGUUUGAUGUCACAAGAACAUCUACUCAUUAACCCUCUCAACGAAUGCUCCAGCGAGGAGGCAUUGCCUCCAAUCCAUAACACUUUUACUCAAGGGGUAUAACCUCUGUCCUUCCCUCACAUGGAUGCGUCUACUUAAGUGCAAACGCUGACAUGAUACUAACGUAUGUUCAAUGACCCAGGUCUCUCACCCUUGGGGACAAAUUCAAGCCACCUGUUUAUUCCAAUUGAAGUAUUCUUGAACCUCACCUAUCAGGUACAAACACUCAUGGGCAUGAUGUAGGCUAUCCCCCACUCUUGCGUUAGCUAGCCCAAUAAGUAGCACCAUCCUCUUAGCUAUGAUCAACACCUUAACCACCAUUGCCUCCGACACCUAUCGAAGUCCCCUCAACUAACACAGUACCAACCUUUCAAGAUCUCUCGAGGUUCUUCGGGCCCAUAACCAAAAGAGCACCCCGCUCCCCAAUGGUGGAGUUCAGCGCACUGUCAUAGCACCACCCUACCUCACCCGAGUCUGAGACCCAAUUGGUAGAUUCAAUGGAUGACUCCCUAAAUCCAACUAUAAGAAAUGGAUCAAGUAUGGACGAGAUGCAACGAGAGCUCUAGUAGUCCAAGGGGAGAACCCACUCGAUCCUACCUUGGGUUGCUCCCCCAUUUGCUUAGAUCAUUCAAGAAGAAUCAAUCCCGACUAACUUCCACCUUCUAUCACUAGAAGCCUUUGAUAAUAGCACUAACCCAAUUGUGCAUACUAACCUUUCAUGCCCAGAUGUCUCUCUUUGGCACCUUAGACACUUUGAUGUGUCAUGUGUUCUCGAUGACAUUAAGGGGCCCAGCAUGAGAGUGGUACACUUAUGUGAAACCACUCUCAAUUAGCUCCUUCGCUAAUCUUAUAAGGAAAUUUGAACUCUACUUCCUCAAUAAUAUAUGUCCAAGGCAAUUGAUGAUGAAAUUGCUUGGGCUCAAGCAAAGGAAGGAAGAGGCACUCUCUAACUUCAUCGCUUAGUUCACCAAUGAGAUCCGAAACGUGCAAGAGGCCUAUCCAUCACUCAUGAUUCAAGCUUUCAUGAUAGGGCUUAAGUCCCCUCACCUUUUCUGGUUAUUGGUAGAGAGGUCAUCGAUGACUAUACCCAAAGCCUUCCAGAGAGCCAAUCAAUACAUAGCCCCUAAGGCGAUGGUCUCAAGCAAGUACGAGGAGACAUGCAAAAGUUCGUAACAUGAGCAACCACCAUUGACUUUGGCCUAAAGAUCGCCUCGACGAGGAAAGUAAGAAUGACCCAAGUCGCCUUGCUCGAGACCCGAGCUGAUCCCCCUUAACAUGAUGAGAAAAGUCUAAUAAAGUAAGAAAAAUUUUGGGUUAUACCCUAAGGAGCUAGGUUGAGACCUACAUCGACCAACUACUCCUCAUCCAUCUUUUAGACUGUCUUAAAGGAAAAAAAAAAUAUCCCUUAAUCGAAGCACUUGAUUUGCUUCCUUAUCCAACAGGAAGGAAGGGGUGCUAUCAAUAUAGUGCACCGACGAAGUAAGGUUGAAUCCUUAAUCUUAACUCAAACUCAUGAGAAAGAAGCGCUCCUUUUAGCCUUUAUUGUUGAAAGGGGCACUGCUAACUUUGAAACACUUUCGAGUGGCUAGAUAGUAGCCAAUUUUUCCCUUGCAUAAAUGGAAAUAGGUGAAAAAGAGGGUGCAGACUAGAGUAAUGUCGGCACACCGACAUUACCUGAUAAACUCUAUCAGAAGCAUCAUGAGUUGGGUGCCAUUUGGGAGGAUGAUAUCCUCCGUCAUUAAAAAUAAGACACUAUCACUAGGUGAAAAUGAAGUUGAAGGCCUGCCUCGAGAGUGUCACAAGACAAAUAAAAGGACCCUUAGAUAGGAUCGGACGAGCGUUGACAAGGCCGAGGAACUUGUGGGUUGAACUCGGCUAAGAUACAAUAUAUAGCUCUCAAGUGAUCUAAGAGAGAUGCACUUACUAUUGAGUCAUAGUCAUGAGAACUUCUCAUAGACUCAAAAUCUUGAAGAACCAUCGAGUUCAUAGGAGAGGCCCCUUCCGAUAAGGAGGACCCAACUUUCUUUGCCCUCGGACUACUUGAAGAUGAAGCAUAAACCUUGAUCAGUUGACGGAUAAAGGAUCGAAAAGAUUUUAUACAAGAAGGGAGAGAUAUCCCGAGCCUAAGAUUGAAGAGUAGAACUAAUGCCGAGACGGAGGAUUUAAAGACCCGCUUGCCUUGUCGAGAACUGAGGUGAGGGAGGAGAUGCUCCUAAGGAGUCCUAGGGGUGAGACUGAGAACUCUCAAGGCUCUAAAGACUCUUAGCUCUAGAGACUCAGAUGAAAGAAUAAAUCCCACCCCACAGGGAGAGGAGAUUUAUAAGGAGAAGGUCGAUCUCUCUCCUCAUGCGAUCAAACCAAGUGUCUCUUCGAGGGCAAAUCCAAAGAGGCCUAUCACGGUGAGAAGGUCUGAGAUCUGUCACGAUAGAAAGAGAACUCGAAACCUGCCACAAUGGAAUGAGAACUGGAGGCUUGCAGUGGUAGAAAGAUUUAAAAAUCUAUUAUGACGGAAAGAAGAUAAAACUGCUAUAGUAGAGUCAUAGGGUCAAACAUGCCCAAGAUGUAUAAGUUGGGAGAUCUGACUUAUGUUAAGAUAAAUCCGCUAAGGUGGAAGUGCAAGGCCAAAUAUAUAUAAGGCAUGUGAGCCAGGAAACCCGACCCGUAUUAAGAUAAAUCCACUACGACGGAGGUGAAGGGCCAAAACAUGCCCGAAGCAUGUGUUAGGAAACUUGAUCUGCACCAAGAUAAAACUAGCUAUGGUGAAGGCAUAAGACCAAACGUGCCCGAGGCAUGUGAGUUGGAAACUUGACCCACAUCAAGAUAAGUCCACUACGACAGAGGCAUAAAGCCAAACGUGCCCAAGACAUGUGAGUCAAGAAACUCGACCCAUGUUAAGAUAAAUCCAUUAUGGCGGAGGCAUAGGGCCAAACAUGCCCCCGAGGCAUAUGAGUCAAAAAACUUAACCUACAUCAAGAUAAAUUCACUAUGAUAAAGGUGUGGGGCCAAACGUGCCCGAAGCAUGUGAGUCGAGAAACCUGACCUAUGUCAAAAUAAAUUCAUUAUGAUGAAGACAUAAGGCCAAACAUGUUUGAGGCAUGUGAGUCGAGAAACCUGACCCACAUCAAAAUAAAUAUGUUAUGGUAGAGGCGUAGGGCCAAAUGUGCUUGAGGCAUGUUAAACGAGAAACUUGGCUUGCAUCAAGAUAACUCCGCUAUGGUAGAGAUCUAGUGCUCAACAUGCUCGAGGUGUGUGAAUCAAAAAAUCCAACCAAUGCCAAGGUAAAUCCUCUACGAUGGAGGUGCAAGGCCAAACAUGCCCAAGGCGUGUGAGUCGAGAAAUUUAACAUGCACCAAGAUAAAUCCACUAUAGCGUAGACGUAGGGCUCAAGGUGCCCGAAGUGUGUGAGCUAGAAAAUCUGACCCACACCAAGAUAAAUCUGCUAUAGCGAAGACGUAAGGCCAAAGGUACUCAAGACACAAGUCUAAAAACCCAACCCACACUUAUUGGCAUCUCCAUCGUGUGACGAAGAAAUAAGUUGACGAUAGGCUUGCCAAAUGAAUUGACCAUCAUACUCCGAACCCCUCUAACAUGAGCCCCAAAAGAUGACUCAAGAAGAACAAAUUAUAGAGAACAUUUUUAUGGCCAAUCACUAUCCGACAUCUGUCAUCACAUGGAGACUAGCGUGGAAGGAAAGGAUCCCCGUCACUUCUACCUGCUUGCCCCCAUGGACAAUAGUUUAAGAGAGAUUAUUCGGGUGAUCGUUUAGGCUUGUCUCCUCCCUAUCGCCCAUAUGACAAAACAUCAAAGGAGGAAGUUGGGGCAGUUGCAGGCUUGUCUCCUCCCUUGUCCAAAUAUAAAAGCUAACCCUCGUCGUUAUGUCGGGAGCUCUCUUUCCCAAAAAAAAAUGGAUACCCUGAACGUUAGAGGGAUCGAAUUAGAAAGCAUCUACCGACAUCGAUCUUAGUACAUGUGGCGCUUAGGAAGCUCGACCCUCGCAUCAGAGCUACUUAGGAACUAACUCUGAUCACAUCAGAGCCACUCAAGAACCACCUCAGAGACACUCAAGAACUAUCUUAGAGUCACGUUGAAUGCUCUUGCACCCUCGAUCUCGGACCAUGUUAAGUUGACUCAGAGAUCGACGAUAAAUUUUUCUGACAUGUCUAACUCGUUUUUCGAGUACUGAGAGACAAUUAAGUCUCAGUAAGUUCACGUAGAAAUAAGUCUUGAAUUCAUUCUACUGCAUAUAAUAUGACGAUAAAAAUAGAAAAGACAAAGGAAAAAAAGGAAAAGGACUCCAUAAACAACACGGUUAACUCAAUCAAAGACGCUGUCGACAUAACAAUAAGAUCAGUCUUAUCCUUGUACUUCUCUUGCAGGUGCUGCUGUAUCUAUCAGCUAACGCUGAGCAAUCUCUGGAUCCAAUUCUCCUUGCUGUGCUUAACCCAUGGCAUACUUCAGCGUCCAGCUCCGAGCAGUGGACUCAUAUCUCAUACGAUCGUUCUUGCACAGAUGAGCGAUCUCAGGCACCAGCGGAUCAUCGGGGUUUGGAUCCGUGAGCAAGGAGCAUAUGGACAGCAGCACCUGCACGCAGCGUUCAUCAAGGAGGAGGAGGAGGAGGAGAAGUAGACUGCAGAGACGUACGUGUGAAUCACCUUACCUUGGAUAUGGUCAAGGCUGGACUCCAUUGAUCUUUGAGUAUGUCCAAGCAGAUGUUGCCGUUGUUGUUGAUGUUGGGAUGGAAGACCUUGGUCCUGAAUGCUACCUACUCGCAACACAUCAUGCUCAUAAAGGAGAGUUGGACUUGGAUCGAGUUAGUACUGAAACAACGGCGAGAGUAAUUACCUUGGGAGGUUUGAAGGGAUAGUCUGGUGGGAAGUGGAUGUUGACAAGGAAGACGCCGCCAGCAUAUGGGCUGUCGUUAGGCCCCAUGAUGGUGGCUUGCCAGUGGAACAUGUCAUCAGCCACAGGUCCUGAGCAAAAAACCCAAAAGCAACAACACAAUGAUCAUGGCACUAGAAGCUGUGUUAGUUAACAGGAAGGAGGAGUAGCUGAGCCUGACGUGUGCACCUGCACUGCACGAAGUUGGUGGGUCUCUCUGCAGGUCCUUCAACUCCUUAAUUAUCCUCCUCGACGCCAUUGAUCAUGCCGAGGAAGAAAGAAGAAGAAGAAGAACCUUGGAGUUCGGAACGGCGUUGAGUAGCGCUGACGACGGGGGAGGAGUUAUAUAGCCAAAGUAGUCCCUGGUGUUGGUGAUGCUGUUUGUGGUAGUGUUGAAGGUGGGCUCUACGAAUCGGAUGCUUGAAAGCAUUGAGAGCAGAAAGUAGGCACUAAGCAUCGCCGAGAAGAAACAGCUGUAUUGGGACGGGAAAGGAACGAGGGGAUCUCUUUCUCUUUGGCUUUCCAAUGGCCACAUUUCAACCUCGAGGGAUGCUUGCCGUGUUGGCCUUCGUCUCUAUUCGACACUCGUAACCAUCUAUCUUCAAUUUUAUUCCCUGCAGUUUAUCGAAGAAAAAGAAGAACUCAAUCCUAUUAACUCUGAAUGCUUUUUGGGUACGCCUUGUGAAAGAAUACAGACUGCUACAGGAAAUUGCGGUAGCUAAUUAGCUCACAACAUGAUUGACACAGACUGCUACACAUCAUAAUUAGAAACAUGUAAAUGAAAACACCAACCAGAGAACGUCCACACCAAAAACAUGGAGAUUUACAGAGAUCUAAUUAAGCAAUUGGAUAUAAGGAGAAUAAUGGUUUUGUGCAAGGAAAACUGAUUUCAACAAUUUCCGACACAACGUUAUAUCGUUAUCUGAAGAUACAUGCUCUAACCAGUCGAACACAUAAUCAGAAAAGAAAGCGAUCAUCGCGAGAUGGUUCCGUAUUUUGUCACCUCUCCCGGUAUACACGAAGCAGAAAACAACCUUAAGAAGAUCGAGAUUGAAUACCAGCGGCACGUUUCUGUUCAUCGGUUCAAUGAUCACAAGAUGGAGCAUCCCUUGUGUGCCUUAUUCUUCUUUUUCUUCUGCAUGGAUGGUUGAAGUGCUGCCUUGAUGGCUGCAUCAAAUACUGCCUUGAUAUUCUGCACAUCAUAUUUUAUAUCAACAUAGAUAGCUAGCAAUUACACAGCAAUGACUCCAAAGAUGAGAGCAGUGGAAAUAACUUACUUGUUGGGUCUUUGAACUGCACUCAACAUAUGACGGAGCGUCAAUAAGCUUCCUCAGCUCUUCACCCUUGUAUAAUAAGAAAAAGAACAAAGCAAGAAUCAUCAUAAGCUACUUUUGCGCAUGAUGACCAACAAAUAGAGACAGAGAAAGAGAGAGUACCUGAGCAGUGGUAAUGGGAACAGCACCUGGGUGAUCUAUGAAAAACUGCUGAUCAUCUCGAAGAUCUGCAAACAAUUCCAUGUAUAUUUAGUUGGAGCAAGUACAAAUGUAAAGAACCAAUCACGCAAGUACUAGGAAGUACACCAGGCUAGAAAUGGCUCUCUAUGCGAAGACUCAAUAUCGGAAAAUUAACACACACCAGAAUGGUUUUCAAAGUAAAACAUGGUGAAAAGUUCUGAAAAUUUUAGUCCUGAUGCAAUCAGAAAGCCCUUAAAAGCUAGCGUUUUGUGAGUCCUGAACUAAACUAGCAUGCAACACUUCAAAAGUCCCGGUAGAUCUGUUUUGGAGUGCUCCCUUACUCCUGGUCCUUCAUAGCAUUCCACACACCAUCAUGACAAAGCCACAAAAAAUCAAAUGUUUUCUAGGAAUGUUAGCUUCCUGCUGAGCCUUCCAACAGCUAAGAAAUGUACAAGGAGUCCUGGAGUUCCUAACUGCAAACAUAAUUAACCUCUAAACUUGAUGACAUCAACGCAAAAGGUGUAUACUGUUCUUCGACCAUUGAAGGAAAAAAAGAGCACAGUUACUAUGCUAAUCAGCCUUUGCAAUCAAGCAGCUUAGCUGUAUGUAAUUGCAUACUGUUCUUCAACCAUUGAAGGAAAAAAAAGAGCACAGUUUGUGUCCAAAAUGAUUUUUCAAAUUUCAACUGCCAUCCAUGCAGGCUAAGAAACUUGUGAAAUCUCUUAACAAAGAAAUAUCUCAAAAAGCUUCCAUGUUGAUUACUAAUGAUCCUCAAUUCCAAGUUAUGAAGCUGUUCUAACUCAACAUGCAAAAUCCAUCAGGCUUAGGGCCCAAAUCAGGAACAGCUUCUUUGAACUCCAUAAGUGAGAAACUGCUUUCUAACCUCAAAAGAAUAUCAAGAAUCACAAGAAUGAUAUCGUCCCAGUUCUCACAAAACCCAGUUGUCAUGAGGAGAAAACAGUUCGAGAUGGAGUUCUCCAAAGGCUUUCUCAAUUUCAGCAUGAUCAUUCAAUAUUUGUCAUGCAAGUUCAGAUUAGAAUUGUUCUUUCUGCAUCUUCCAUUAGAUAUAGCAUAAAAGGUCUAGUAUUCUAAUCUCUGAACCAUGGACCCCCAAGCACAUCCUGGUAACCAGUUUAAUCCUUCAAACUUCACCUUGUGAUUAAAUCUUCAAACUCACAUGAAGUUAUCCCAGAAUCCAAUUUCCUUCCAUUUACCAGUUUUAAUAUCCUAUUCAAUUCUGCUCAUUUUGCAUGUGUACUACCAAAUUCAGAUAAUCAAAAUUAGGAAUCCAAUUUCUAAAUCCAUAAUAUACCUGUAUAAAUUUCACUUUAGAGGAUUAAUCAGGGUUAUCCUAUCAUAAUAAGGCUUGGUUUUGGGCUUAACUAGAGCAUUAAUUCCAUUUUUUCUUGAAAUAUUAAUAGCUAUGACUAAUUGGUUUUGACUAAGUUGGAGAUGUAAUUGACAGUUGAAGAAACAUGAAAUUAAGGGUUGACUUUUGGUUUUUCCAAUUAAUCAACCAAAAGACCCCAAAUAGUUUUAAGGUCAAAACCACCACAUUGUUUAUGUUGGAAUGAGAGAUUCAGAUGAAGCCUGGAAUAAUUUACAGAUUGUAGGUCGAACUUUAGCUCUGUUCAGCUUUAUAUCUACCUAUAUAAUAAUUCAUCCACAAUAAUCCUAAUUUGGAAUCCAUUCAAUGGAAACAAGAAGUCAACAUGAACCUAAACAAUGAAAGAAAAGUAUUUGAUCAGAGUUUUUAGACCUAUUCUCAGUUCAAUCAACUGUGUAGCUUAUGACUUAGCAAGACACUAUAAUAUCAUUUAAAAAUUAGCUUAAAUAACUAAAACACCAGGAUGAAGAAUUAAAAACGCCUAUCAUGUACCAUGAAACAAAUCUAGUAUCAAACCCUCAAUGUUAACCAAAAUUUUCAUGUUCAAAGCAUUAUGGUUUGGAUUCUUGAGCAUGAAGUUACUAUUGUAUCUAUUUUUGUUAGUUUGAAAAUAUCUGGCAUAUAGAGAUUAACAAAGAAGUAGAUUAGUGAUUCAAGGGUUGAGGGCCAAUUAUGGAAUAGGAGAUAUGGUGGUGGCGAUUGGGCAUGACAAAGACAUGGUAAUUGUUGGUUCCUGAGUGUCAUUGACCAUAGAGUCAACACGGCCUGGUUUAGUCCCGAAAGCGCGGACCUAUCCCAGUAGCCCAAACGGAUCGCUUGGGUGACAAGUGGACUCAUGAGGCUUUACUGGCUCGCGGCGACCAAUCCACGGUUAUUUCGAGAUGCGGUUCGCUUACUAAAUGAAGUUUAGAGUCAUCUCGAGGUGCGCCUUGACCUUGUCUAGUGAUGCUCCACGCCACCCCGGGGUGCUCCUUAGACACGUCGGGACCUCUACAUAAUUGGUCAACGUUAAGAGAUUUCCCGACCCGACCCCUCCGACGCUUAAGUCAGUAGAAAAAGUGGAGAAGAUUUAGCAGAGCUCAGGAGAGUUUAGGUUGAGUCCCCCCUCGUCUAGUUUCGGGGGCUGGCUUUUUUACCUGAUUUAUCGAUGGAGGGUGACCAGUUGUUUGUCCCCCUUUCAGCUUCUCAUACCAUUAAGGGUUCAUUUAUGUUGACGGCUAGUGAACACGUGUUCCCAUUGAUUAUGUUCGGGAAGGAUAGUUGGAGGCAUGUCGUUUGUUAGGGUAGGGUCAUGCCUGAAACGUAUAGGAGAUGGGGAUUGGCGUCAAGUGCCCGAAGAGUCGGGCCACGUCAUUGAUGCGACCUCUUCCGAAAUUAUGGCCAUGAGUGACGGAUCGCUUGCGACCAACGACGCAAUCGAGGGGAAGUUUAGAGGACGAGUUUGGUCACUGUGUACCGAUGGUUGACUUGUGCGACUUCUUCGAGGAUCAUGUUCCGGUUGGGUGACCGCGUGAGGCGACGAUGCGAGCUCUUGUGUGCGUGUCGAUUCCAAGUGAUGGCCCACGAAUGGCCGGUCUAGCACUGGAAUGGCUAUGCCAUUGCUUUCCCUCUCAUGCUUCAUUGGCCUUUUUCCGUGGGUCAAGACAGGUGGAGGCUGGUGGACCAUUUCCGUGAGUUGCUCAUGCCUUUGCUUAGGUGGCUUCUUUAGCCCAAGUGGCAGGGUGAGUUGGCAGCACUGUUAUUUUUCCUAUCAGUAAUGAAAGGCAGCGCCACAGCAGCAAAAACUUUCCCAUAUUAAUAUGAUAAACUAUUAUUCUAUUUUUCAGGACUAAUAUCCCAUUUUGUUUUGACAAAUGAACUCACAACUAGAAACAUUUUGAAUUUCCAAUCUACACAAAUAACACCAUAUAUUGACUAGAUGAACAUACAUGAGAAAAUAAUAUGGUUAUGCAAUAUAAAAAUCACAAACAAAUUAAUACAUUGGGGAAGAGUAUUACCGAGCUUUGUUCCAACAAGAAUUUGAGGCACACCAGGCGCAUAAUGCUUUAGUUCAGGAAUCCACUGAUGAGUUAAAUAGAAAAAUAAAAUAGAUGAGGAAAAGCAAAAGAAUGAAUAAAAUUUGGCAUGAUAUUAACAAAGAUUCAAACAAAAAAAGAACUAAUAUUGAUUUCUCACCUUCUUGGUCACAUUCUCAUAGCUAGCUUUACUUAUAAGAGAGAAUGCGAGCAGAAAAACAUCUGCACCUCGGUAGCUCAAUGGUCUUAAUCUAUUGUAAUCUUCCUGGCCUGUUCCACUAAAACCCAAUAUUAGGUCGGAUCCACCAAAACUUUAGACUAGAGGAAACAGCCAAUGCAACAAAAUAAAUGUAGCAGAAUAGAUGAUGAGGCUGGAAGAAAGAAAAGGUUGAGAUACCUGCAGUAUCCCACAAGCCUAAGUUAACUGUGCUACCAUCAACCACAACAUUUGCACUGAAAUUGUCAAAAACAGUUGGAACAUAAUCCUGCAUGCAAGGGGAAAAAAUUUAUAUGUUUGCACAAGAUGGCCACUGAAGUUAUUCAUUAAUCGGAAUCAUAUAAAAUCCAAAAUUGACCAAGUUAAACGGAAGCCAUGUCUUCCAAAGGAGACAACUAAUGGGACUCCAAAAUGAAUAAUAUUCCUUCAGAAGAGAUCCUACUUCUCAGAAAUUGAGAAAUGCUCGAUGUGGCUAAAAUUUCGAUUUCCGAAAUCUUGGGAGAAGAGGGAUAAAGUCUAGUGGCUAAAAAAUGAAGCAUGUCAUGAUAUUGAUUUGGAUCAUUUUGGAUUCAAAGAAUUUGGCAAUGAUGAAGAUGAUACGGAUGGAAAGUGGAUUACAUUAAUGUGCAGGUCUAUGUUUGUAUAUACUCACUGUAUGUGUAUAUGUAUCUUGAAUCAAACAUAAGAUACUUGUCAGAAAAUAAGAUUCAGGAAAGGUAAGCAAUCUUUUAUUUGAUCUAGCCCCGUCACAUUGCAUUUCAUUCAUUUGAAUGAAAAGGAGAAAAGAUUUGAACUCUGUGCAGCAGGCUUAUACAAAAUUCCUGCUACUGAAGAAACAAAGAAUAUUUCAUUCCAAUAUUUGCUACACUCAGUUAAAAUAAAUUUAAUGCAUUACUCAUUAAGUUCUUUACAUACUUGCAACAAAAUAAAAUCAAGGAACCUAAUUAGAUAUUUUAGUUAGAAUAUACUUUUCUAUAUCUGUAUUCCACCAUUUUUAACAAAAUGAGAUGAAAGUAAGGGAGACUUCUUAAGUUAAAAACCACAUUCCUAUAAUCCUUCCUCAAAAUCUAAAAUAAAAGUAAAAUCAAAAGUUUCCUUUUCGUUUUUCUUUUUAGUCAGACAUUUGGUGCCAUUAGCCAACUAAAUACAAAAUGAAAGCCAACAUUGCCUCAGAUCAACCAAACAAACCAUGAAAACAACAAGUGGGCAGAAAAGGAAGCGUUUUUCCAUCUACAUUCCCUUGAACAACCUCAAAAAGAAAAGAUUUCCCAAUUCCGCUCCUUUCCCUGUGCCUAUUUCCCGAAAAUCAAACCAAAAACGAAACAAAGCCCCCUCCUCUUUCCUAAUUAUAGAGGAAAACCAUAAAUUCGUUUUGCCUUUCUGUGUGUGUGCGUGUUUGUCAUCACCUACCGUGGGGAAAGUAUUGCUGGUGUAGGAAAUAAGCAUGCAGGUCUUGCCGACGGCCCCGUCGCCCACCGUGACGCACUUUAUAAACCUUGACGCGCUCAUCUCCUCCACCGACCCCCUCGCCCUUCAGCCUCCGACGCUCCACGUCGGCCGAAGGCCUUACGCCGAGAACAACCGGCGAGCCUUUGCGUACCUCCGUCAAAAGACAGAGAGCGAUUCCGACAAACCCUAAAUACAGAGUAUAUCCACUAUUAAAAUGAUCUCUUCUUUUUGCCUUUGUUUCCUGUUUUUCCCUCUUCAACUUUUCAUUUUCUCUUAUGAGAGAGAGAGAGAGGGGGAGAGAGAGAGAAUGCAGGUUUGGGUUUGAUUGAGUUGUGCGAGAGGAAGAGUUGGAGAAGGGAGGAAGCGGGAGCCGCGAAAUGGUGCGGUUGACGCGGUCGUAGAGAGAUGGGAAACCGCUGAGGAUAUAUAUAUAUAUAUAUGUGUGUAUAUAUAUAUAUAUAUAUAUAUAUACACAUAUAUAUAUAUACAUAUGUAUAUAUGUAUAUAUAUGUAUAUAUAUUAUAUAUAUAUACAUAUACAUAUGUAUAUAUACAUAUACAUAUGUAUAUAUAUACAUAUAUAUAUAUAUGUAUGUAUAUGUAUAUGUAUGUAUAUACAUAUAUAUACAUAUACAUAUAUAUAUAUAUAAUAAAUUAGUGGCUCGCUCUCGCAAAGCAGAGUUAAAUUAGCAAUUAAAGAGCAAUAGAGGGAAAAGAGAUGUAAGCAAGGCGAGUCUGCUGCGGCCGCCCGUCCGCCGGGCCCCGCGUGGCGUCGCACCGGCGGUACAGCUCACAGAGAAGUCGAGCUUCAUGAGGCUCGUCUCCGACGACAAUAGGUUGGGCCGGCAGUUGUUGGAGAGGUCGAGCGUGGUGAGGCUCGGCAUCUUCAGUAUCUCCGGCGGGAUCUCACCCCAGAACCUGUUUGAUGAAAGUUUGAGCGUGUUCAGGAUCGGCAGUGCCGUGAUCUGCACCGGUAUCUCACCCGUCAACCUGUUCCGACUGAGAUCUAACGAGACGAGCGAUGCGCAGUGGGCAAGAUCGAUGGGGAACUCGCCGGUCAGCUCGUUCCCACUCAAGUUGAUCAUGGCCAGUGCCUUGAGACGACCGAUCUCCGGUGGGAUCUCGCCGAACAUCCUGUUAAUGUUGAGUUCAAGUCUUUCGAGCGCGGAAAGGUUGCUAAUCGCCGGCGGGAUUGAGCCGGUUAUCGAGUUGUUGGAGAGGAUGAGCAAGCGGAGUUUGUCUCCCGCGAUCACCGUCGGCAAUUCACCGGAGAGGUUGUUGUCGUUGAGCUCGAGCAUGUCGUUGGAGGGCAGAUCGAAGAGCCCGGCGGGGAUCGACCCGUUCAAGGAAUUCUUACCGAGUCGGACCCGAGUCAGCGACUUGCAGCCGCCGAGCUUCUCGGGAAUCGGCCCGACGAGGCCGUUGUCCAUCAGAACCAACAUCUCGAGCCUUCCGCCGGCGCAGAGAUCGCGCGGAAUCGUCCCGGUUAUCCGAUUCGACGCCACGUCCAGCGUCACCAGCCGGCCGUUCAUGCCGAGAGAUUCAGGGAGCUCGCUGCUGAAGUUGUUCUGAAAUAACUUGAGUUCCACGAGACUCGGUAGCUCCCCGAUGAACGGUGGAAUGAUACCUCGGAGAUGGUUCAUGAAAAGGUUCAAUAGCUUGAGCUCCUUCAGCUCCGCGAAGCUCUCCGGUAUCUCGCCCGUCAACUCGUUGAUGGAGAAGUCGAGGAACUCCAACUGGCUGAGUCCGCCGAGUUCUGGCGGUAUAGAGCCAUUGAGCCGGUUGAUCUGGAGAAAUAAGCUGUCGAGACGCUUCAACUGGCCGAGACUCGCGGGUAAUGUGCCGGAGAGGCGGCAUCCAGCCAUGUCGAGUCGAACCAACGACGACAGCCUCCCAAACUCCCAGGGUAUCCCGCCUUCGUACUUGUUGUAGUACCCGAUGUACAUCUCCUUGAGCUUGGAGAGCCGACUGAGGCUGGGCGGGACGCGCCCGGUGAGGGAGUUGCCGUUGAGGCCGAGGUAUUCGAGGUUUGGGAUGUCAGAGUACGCCUCCGGAAUCACCCCGGAGAAGAAGUUUCCACCGAGGUGGAGGUACCGGAGCAGCGGGGCGGCCGCCAAGCCCAACGGGAGCGGGCCGGAGAUGUUGUUGUUGUAGGCGUCGAUGACAUCCAGCGCCGGGAACCCUCCUGGUUCUACCUUGGGGAACUCGCCAGAGAAGUGGCUGUUGGAGAUGUUGAGCAAGCGGAGUGAAGGGAGGGCGGCCAGCUCGACGGGGAGGGAGCCGCCGAGGCCGGCGCAGGAGACUGUGAGGUUGACAAGGUGGCGGAGGAGGCCGAUCUCGGGCGGGAGACUGCCGUUGAGGUGGACGAAGGAGACGUUAAGGGCGACUACGUGGGAGUCCUCGUCGCAGGUGACGCCGGAAAAGGAGCAGUGGUCAGGGGACGCGGCGGCCCAGUCGCCAAGCCCAGAGCCGCCGGGUCCCACCAAAGCGGCCUUCAGCUUCACUAGAGCACCGUGAUCGCCAUCACCAUCUGAAUCAGCUAAGAACAGAGGGCUAAGGACAAGCAGCAGGCCGAGGCACCUCAUCAUUCUGCUUCUGUCUCUCUCGAAACUGGAUCGUACGACAGAAGGCGAGGGGAGACAUAUACCAGGUGAAGUGGAACAACGCAUCAGCAUCCGACGCGGAUGACAAGAGAGAACAAAGCAGCAGACUGAGGUAUGCCUUCGUUCUUGUUCUACACUCUUUACUGUAUCUAUCUGCAUCGGAUGAUACGAGUAGAAACAAUGCAUUAGCAUGGAUUAUGUCAGAGAGUGACUGGGAAUCCAUGACUUCGGUUAGUGUAAACAACUUUGAGAGCCGUGGCCUCGGGGCCGACGCGGCUUGGUUCGGGUCCGAUCGGGACGGGGUCGUCGUCUCCUCUGGGCAGGGGCUCGUCGUCCGCGCGGCCGGCGGGGACCCUCGGCUUCGCACCUGCACAAAGGUCGGGUCGGGAGGCUCGACCCAACCCCUGUUUGUAUAUGUGUCCCCCCCCUUUCUGAUGAACGAGAGGGUAUUUAUAGAGAAGCUUACUGUUGUUUGAUGUGCCCGUCUGCAGGAGGCAGGCUGAUAGCGUCUGACAUGGGUGCUGGCGUGGCGUGAAGAACCGUGCCUGAGUAGGCGUUAAUGCCCUCGGUCGGUGUUCCGGUUCGGUUGACCGAGUACAGUCAGUCGAUCGAGGCGUGAGGCGUCGGCUGACGUCAGCCGAGUCUUAUCGUAAUUACUAUCCUCAUAAACACUGGAAUGUUUCUCCUCUCUAGAACGAGAAUCCAGUUCUCAAGGUGGAGGGCGGGAUUCGAUCCAGUUGUGAUGGAAAACAUGCAAUUGUGGGUGUGGAAUAAUCGACAAAGUAAUGCUGCAAGCAUCUCUUUUCACCCAUCGCUUUAAUAUGGGAUGCUUAGUAAAGCGAUGGGUGAAGAGAGAUGCUUACAGCAUUACUUUGUCAUCUCUAACCUAAAAAGCUGACUUUUUCCCAUACCAAACUCUAUAAUAAAAUGGUCAAAAUGAUUUAUCCAAAUUAUAUUGUAUAUCUUCUCUCCGAAAAAUAAAUAUAAUGACACACAGAGUAUUAAAAAAAAUUCUUUUUUAAUUGAAAUUGUUUUAUUUGUGUCCUUUUUAACUUCAGAUAGUCCAUAAUCCAUACAAAAUCCAAUAUAAAAAAGACAAACAAAUUAUAGUGGCAUGACACCAUUCUUACCGGUGAAACCAUCUCACAUCUUCAAAAAAUAUAUAUAUCAGAUCAAAUUUUGAACCAUUAAUCUUUUGUAAAUAGAUCUAAUACAUAAUUCAGAUAUCAUUUUUCAAGAAUUAUUCGUCUUAUUCUCAUGCAUUAUGUCCUUCAAAGUCAGAUCUAUUUACCUGUUCAAUCUGCCCCUCGGAAACCUAUCAAUUCUGAAAUUGUCAAGGCAAAUAUAGUAAUCAGCAGCUAUUCUCAUUGCUGCUUUCUUUUAAUCCAUAUGUAAUACUUCAGAUCAAAUAACUAUACAGGAUGAGAUAAAUCAUGGAAUCCCUUCCAAGGCAUUUACAUGAGAGAAAGAAAAGGCUUAGUGCUCAUGAACACAUGAGCUUAUGUACAAAACUGAACUACUGGAAGCGCACCGAGCGUGUUGAGCCCAUCCAUCACAUCCAACACUCUUGACCUCUCCAGCUUCCAAUCUAAUGCCACAUUGAACUCUUUGUCUGGAGAAUUCUCACAGCUCCUAUUCCGACCCCUAUGUCUCCUGGCUCUCUUCUCCAAGUCCAAGCUUUUGCUUCUCCCUAAUGUAAUCUUCCUCAGGGUUACUUGCUCCAACAUAUUUCUUUCGUCUUCUGAGAGUAGGGCACCUUCAAUUCUACCAUUGCAUGCCUGAGAUGGUUCUCGUAUGGACUCUGAGAUCACCACUGUUCCCUUAUUUGGUUGACUUUGAACUGGGCUGGCUGAUGUUAAUCCAUAACCCCUGUUCUUCACCUGGAUAACUAGAUGGUGAAGCCAUACCACUAGUUCUAAUAUGUACUCCUCAGUUUUCUCUUUAUUUGCGUGAUGAAGCGUCUGGAUACGGGCAAUGCAGUUUUGCAUGUCUGGUUUCUUGUUAAUCUCAGUACUGCAGAAGAACACACUGCUUAGAUGCAAUCACAUACGUAACAAGGAGAUUCUGCUGUCAUUUUCACAUGCUAAGUUAAUUCAAAACUAGAAUAAAGACUAAAGGAAAUGGAAGAAUGAGUCCAGAACUAACCCCAUGGUUGCCCACUCUCCUACCCAUCCAAAACCUUGAUGUGCUCUGAUUAGAUCAGAUGAGAAUAAAAAGAAUUAAGAAACUGCAAUAGCAAUUCUAGCCUUGAAACAAAACAUAUGUAGCAUAGAUGAAAGUAUGAGAGAGAAGGGGGGGAAACUAUUUAGUAAAUGUAAAUAGUUAAUGAAGGCAUUUUAGAUACCAACCUAGUUGUGUUUUCUGCUAGUGGAGUGAUCCAACAUAAGAUUUUCUGCAUCUCAGCUUUUAUCUGAGCAACUGUAUACUGCAGAAAUGCAAAUUCAGAAAUAGCAGUUAUCAUUACAAGUUUUAACAAUUAGAGUUUAAAGAAUACACACCACAAGAGUUUCACCAGUAGCUACCUAUCCAAAUGUACAAAGAGAUCUGAUAGUACAUUUAGGAGACUACAAUCAUAAAUUUAUCAUACAAUGAGAACUAAAUGACUAUACUAAGAUGAUCUUUUAAUUUCUGGAUUUGCUAAAGCUUCUGAUAUAUUAUUUUUUAGACACUUAAAUACAAGAAUGUGAUCUAAUAAAUGUACAGCUCAGUUUAACUUGUCAAGAUCUUUUGGAAAUUCAUUAUACAAAAAUUGGUUAACUUGAUUCAGCAACCUCAAUCAGAUCAUUUUAUGUAUUAGGCAAUGGAUCUUUACCAGACCUUUUAAUAUAUGCACCUAGGAAACUCAGCUACUAAAGCAAAACUCACUUGCACAUCGUGAAUGAUCUCUUGGCAUAUUUUGUAUAGAAAUUUGAUGAAGUUGCCCAUCUUUACAUAUGGGAACACAAAAUGCUGCUGAAUUUCGAUACAAGUAUUUUUGCUCCAUAACGCAUGAGUGGCAAAGAUCACUGCAGCUUUCCAACAGUGUAAGAUUGUUGUUGGAAACAUAUCUUCCAUCAAACUAGAAGAGGUGUGGUAGAGUUUCAAGUCCGAUCACACAGGUGCAGCAUCUUACAGAUAUGUAAAAUUUAUUUGUGUUCAACUUUAUAAUGAUAUUCUAAAAUAUGUAAAUCAAGCAAGUGUUUUGUUAAUAUAAAUGUGCUGGUCUAGGGAAGGUUCACAAAAGAAAUAUUGAAAUGUCACAGAGAAAAAAACCUAAUAGGGAAAUAGAGGCUUAGCACUAUAGUAUAAACUGAAGGAAGUACAACAUACCUCUUCCUUGGCAUCAAAUGAUUGUAAUCGGGUACGAAGUGCUGCCUUCACGCGUGUAGGCAAUCCUUGAUAUAAACUGUCCCUCGUAGUCGGAGGAAGGGAUAGUGGUCGAGAUACCUAUGAACAAAAUAUUUUAAGAAAAACUCCAUAAAGCAUGAGAAACACCAUUUCUUAACCAUAGUUCACCAAGUACUAAUUGCUUGGCAUGUAGCUGGAUCUCUCAGCUCCAUAUGCCAGGACAUAUAACUGAGAUACAUACUUUGAUAUGAGAAGCAACGGAUAUUACUUCGCAUCUGCUUAAAACGAGCAGGAAGCACUAUCAGUGAUAGAAAACAUAUUGUAUCCCAGGUAUACUUACUAUAUUAUCAAUCUGGUUGAUGAUGUUAGCAUAAUGCAACGCGAGACCAGAAGCACCUAAGGUUUGAUUCUGAGCUGGCUUAUAGUCGAGUAAGUUGCAACCUGCAAUUUGCUCAAACAGGUUUAAUAUUACAGUUACAAAGAUCUCAACAACAUACUUUCCAAAUGGCUUAAAAAAAAGUAUGGCGAGGAUCAAGAUAAUCAACUUCAGCAUAAGACUAAUAGAGUACAGACCCUUUUUCUACAUCCACAGAUCAUUCUGUAUCUUUUUAGCACCCUUUUAAGGUGAUGCUAAGAAAUAUAUACAUAUAACUUGUCACGAUUAUUCCAAGGAAAAGAUUUGGACAAAUAUAUUAACAAAAAAAUAAUCACAACAGCUAGGUGUCAUCUUACAUGUACCUUUUCAAUCAAUGAACAUCAUGAAUAAAUAAAACAUAAUACCAACAGAACGUUUAUUAAUGAAGUUAUUUAGUUCAUCACAUCGCAGAAUUACUCAAACCGUUCUUGAUUGUCAUAUGAUGAUGGAGCAGUAUAUCAACAGAAUGUUUAUUAAUGAAGCACAUUGAAAAAAGAGUAUGACAAGAAUCAUACUGUUAUUUAGUUGAUCACAUCGCAGAAUUAAAACUAUUCUUGAUUGUCAUAUGAUGAUGGAGCAAUGCUUUUAUCUAAACCAAUUUGAAGACUCACGACAAGAAUCCAGAAAUUAUAACUCAUGAAAAAAGCACAAAGGAAAUGAAGUUUCUUCCAUUCUCAACAAGAACAAAUUAUAAUGCAUCUUAUCCAGGAAUUUAAACACAGCAUACUUGGAAUGGAAUAUUAAUGAUUACUUAUUGUAAGGCUCUUAUUUUCACCUUCAUUAGAUUUUGUUUAAACACAAUUCAAGACGAGAACUAAAAUAUCACUGUAUACUGCUCCAUAUAAGUAGUCCCUAAUGGUCCACAUGUUGAUUGGUUCACAGCUCUGCAAUUUUAAUAGAUAUUAGGUUUUGUUCAGAAUAUGAUUGGUAUGGUUGAUUGCAACUUACAAGGGAGCCUUAUCACAGUUCACAAUACAUGAUCCCCUCUCUUGCAACCAACCCAUUCUACUAGUUGAGGAGGUGACAAUGGUCAGGGAAGAAGAUGAAGAAAGAAUAGGAGCCAGAGGCAGCUAGGUCCUGGCAGGUCUUGAGGUGGGAAGGCAAAGAAGAAAAGCAUAGGGGCAUGAGAGAGGUUCCUAGUAGCCAGACAUGAAACUGAUCCUAGAAGGAUUAAAGAAAUUAAUAUCAAGAGUUAAGACAUCAUCAUUCUCAAAAACGUUGUCAAUAGACUCAAUACCAAAUUUGCAAUAACAUACCAGAAGUUUUAAAUGAUUCCCAAAUCUGCUUAUACAAAAAUGUAACAAUGUCUACAAGCUUUUCCACCACCUGCAAAAACAAUGAAUAUGUUGGAGAACUUUUUUAAUAUUAUAUAUAUAUAUAUAUAUAUAUAUAUAUAUAUAUAUAUAUAUAUAUAAACUAAACCAUCUGGACAAUGGUCUUUUUACAUAUUUAAAAUGAAGUCAUAAUGGUUAGUUCAUAAGAAUCCAAGAACAAAACCAUUACCUCCUCCAAGUUUCUGGACCAAAGGGAUUUCUUUUUCAAACUCUUCACAAGCUUCUUUUGGCGUUUCAGUUCACUGUUCAAAAUACUCUCUGCUCAUGUAAAAAGUGGGUAGAAGCCAAUAAAAUGACAUUGCCAAACUAUCAGCAAAAAUACUACUAGUUCAACAAAAAUGGAAGCAUCAGCAUGCAUUUAAUCCCAAAAAAGAAAAAAAAACACAGUAAUAUUACAAAAAAAUUUAAUUAACGGCUAACAAUUCAAAGUUGAAUCAGAUAAUUAAUAACCUUGUCAACGAGAACCAGACUAGGAAUAAACCAAAUGGUCUAAAAAUGGCAGAGUCCAUAAAGACUAGAGAUGCAUGGGACCAUAACAUAGAACUGAAAGAAAACCUGCCUUUGUAUUUAGUCUACGGAAGCCUCUCUAAGAGACUAACCUAUCAAGUAGGAAAAUAUAAAUUCAAUCUAAAGAUUCUAAAAUAAGUUGUUUUAUUUGUUACUUAGAAAAGGAAAUAUAAUUGUGUACUGUAUGGAAUAUGGCGUAGCUUAAUAUCCAAACCUCAGAAACUAUUUAUGUUUUCUUAACAUCAAGCAAUACUUCCAAUAUGCAGUCAAAGUCAAAACAUGCACAAGGAAUAAAUCUCCAGUCAGUUUACCAUUUGAAUCUUAAAAAAAGCUUACUAGCUUACCCUGUCUAGCUGCAGGUAUCAACUCUUCUUCUUGAAGCUUCCUUCGGUAAUCCUGUUCAUAUCUAUCUAGAGCAUGUAACUCAUGAUAAAGCUCCUACACAUGCAAGAUGGUUUAGUUGAUCAUAGGCAAACAAUGAAGAACUAUUUUAUAAGAUAAGACUCAUCACAUUUGUUCAUACAGACCAAUAAUCAUGCCGAUGUUUGCAUAAUUCUUUAUCAGAAAAAGAUUAUCAACUUCUCAAUGAACUUGAUGUCCAGAAAAUGGGAAUGAAAGAAAAACAAAAUUGUUCCUGAUCACAAAAUGUGUCUUAGGCUGUAUUCAAUGAAGACAAUUAAAUGUUUGUGUUAAUUAUCUUAAAACUAGGGAACAUGGUUCACUAAGAAAAGUUCAUCGAUCAAAAAACAAUUUAUAAUUCUGCAAAGUUGACCAUUUCUAUUAGAUAAUAUAAAAUCACCAAGACUUCCCAAUUGUUUAAUUGCUCAACAUAAGCAUAUGGAAGCAAAUUUAAUAUAUGGAAACAAGUAGUUUAUUCUUUAGUGCACAACACAAGUUGAGCGAAUGCUAAACUUGUGAUAUGGCUAAAAAUUGCUCAAGUUUAUAUGUUUCCAUCGAACAAUUAAGAUGUGGCAGUUCAAUCAGAUGGUAGCUCAUCAAUCCAUGUUAUAGCCUAAAUAUCAAGAUUAUACUUUUUUUUUAAUUUUUUGAAGGGUGUACUGCUGGUAAUGGUACAGCCAAUACAAUAACAGUACUGGUUCUAAAAUCUUAGUUUUCACAAUGACAGAUAAAAUUAAACUAUCUAUUAACAAAAGUCUCAACUAUUUAGAUUCAGCUACAUGGAUAAAAAAACCAGCCUUAUUUGACCUACAAAUAGCAGAACCAAAAAAAUCGACGAGCGAAGAGCUUGCUUUGUCAAAUAAUGAACAUGAUUUGAGCUAUGGCAGCCCUUUUAACUGAUUAACUAUGAGAAUGGAAUCUGGAGGUGACAGAACCCAAUAAUACUGAAAAGGAAAGAAAAGAACAAACAUUUGAGCAAAAUUUAAUGAACUUAAAUGGAAAGAUUCAUCGAAACCUUUGGCACAAAACCUAGAAUUUCAUUCACCAAAUGCUAUAAGAAUGUGGAUUUCUAAAUGUCAGAUAGAAGCAUAUUCUUCCUCUUUUUCAAAUCACUGAUGAAAAACUAUUUAGGAUAAAUAGAGACUAUUAACAGUUUUAUGUCAAGAUGUACUUACAGAAGUACUCUGAGCCAAAUAUAUUAAGAGUUGCAUCAUCAUUUCUGCCUCCUCUUUUGACUGUUCUGUGGGCGUCAUAUCCAAACUCAAUCUGAGGAAACAAUCAGCCAUCAUAUUUCAAAUUGAAAGUCUGUUUUGGACAACUUAAAAUGCUUUGCAAAUUGAGACAUCUUACUUCUCAAAAUAGCGACCUAGAUUGUGCCAUAUUGGGUCUUUACAUAGGUCCCCAAACCUAAUUACUUCUCUUGAAAAAAAGUCAAGUUCUUCUCUGUUACAGUGAUACAAGAACAGCUAUGCAUCAGAUCAGGUUCCAGAAACAACUAUAAUACAAGUUAAUAAGAUGCGACAUCUGCAGAUUGCAUUACUAACCCCACCUUUUGUCAGCGGCAGUGAUCCACAGCAACUCAUUAGCAUCUGCAGAGAUUAGUUUUCUUACUCCAUCUGACUGCAAAACUUCUUCUUUCAAGAUAUUGAUGUUUUCAUCUGAAAGACUUCUCCAUAAGUUAGCUCCUUUAGCAAUUGUAUUUGCCACUUCAAAUGCUAAGAUGGAAAUUUUAUAUCCUCGGGCCGUCACUCCGGAUGUAAAUCCACUGCUAGGAUUCAAGUUUGACAUGCUACUUCCAAGGGUAUCUAGAACCUCUACAGCUUUCUCCAGACCAGCAAUGCUAGCUCGUCCCAGGAUUGAACUUGUUUCUGGUACCUAAGAAAUGUCAUCACCAAUAGUGGUCAGUUAAACUGGAAAAUAAUAUCACCCUUUUAUGAUAAUUCAUCGUUCAUGGACUCAUAAAACAAUGACUAUUGUUUUGUUUCUCUCAAAACAUAAUAUAAUAUAAUAAAGACAUUUCUGCUUGAGAACUUUCUAUCAUUGAACACAAAUAAGUGGUGGAUCUGGGCAAUUGGUGACUGCUUUCCAGUUGUCAUGUCCAAUCAUUUAUUGGCAAUGAUCAGAAUCAAAUUCAAACAAUUACAACAAAGACAAGCACAUCUUGAUCUCACAGAAAACAUAUGCUUUUAGAUUCAUUACAUGUCAAAGCGUUAACAAGAGAUACUUUAAAAAAGGUCAAUAACUAUGAACUCGUGUUUUCUGUGAUUAACUUUUCCAAAAACCCUCUGAUUUUUCAUUGCAAAAUGCACAAAGUAAAGCAUAAGAAAACAAGAAAAAAAUUAGUAUUGGCAUUGAAAGUUUUAAAUAUUGUAAAAGUAGAAUUUAGGUUUGACAAUGAAUGAAUUAUACUUCUCAAAUUUAUUGUCACUGUCCAAACUGUUUGCUUAAGAUUUAUAUUACGUUUCUUUCCGUUGCAGUGAAUACUGGUUUAAUAUGUUAAUUCUUAUUCCUAUAUUCUGAGUUAGUUUUAGAGCUAUAUCACAGUGUUGAGUGGUUCUAACCAAGGAUUAUGUUACCGCUUGAACUGGUAUAGUAGGGACGAUAUAUACUGGUCCAACCACCGGUCAGCCCUUGGACCAGCGUAAACCAGGCAGUUGAAGCCUGGUAUAGGGAUUACUACCCAGUAAAGUCCUUGUACUGGGUUCAUCGCCCGGUACAGACCCGGUAACCACCAAGCAGAUAACAUCAUUAAGAAGUAAUAUACAAGUGUUGCUGAAAUAGGUCAACAUGGUAAGUAAGGAAAAGAGUAGAAAAAGGAGAAAAGGCAAGAGAGAGGUCCACAUACACCUUCAACAUAAAACCCACCAAAGAUUCAAAGGGACUUUUGAAUCAAUUGGCAAGACAAAGGGUAGAUCAAGUUAUAGAGCUUAAAAAUAUCUGGACUAGAUUGAUAAAAAAAAAAAAAAAAAGAGGAUAGCAAAGUCGAGCAAUUAGUGAUAGACCAACCACCCAAUGAAAGUCACAACAAAGAAAAAUAUAUCAACAAAAAGCAGCAACAUCAACACAACAAUUCUCUCUUCAUUAAUCAGUAGAAAAGAAAAAAAAGAAUUGAGGCAUAUCAAAUGAUGAUCUACAUUAGAGGGCAGUUCAAAGAAAUUGCAUAUGAAGUUUUUGUGACAUGUGAAAUUGUCAAUGAGUAGGCAAUAGAUUUUUUCCUCAUAUCAUGAUGGAAUCUCUCCAUUAUUAGCAAUCCUUUAUAUACAUGUGAAUUUUAUCAUAUUCUUCAACUUUGACAACAGUACCCAGCUUUAGUGUAUCCUGAAUGUAUCUUUUAGGAAAGAGUUUGUGCGAUCAGAAUUUCUUAAAUUAGGAAAAGAAUGGCUAUUGAUAAAGGCAUAUAUCUUUAGUUAUUCUGAUUCAUAUUUAAUAGGGUAUUCUAAUAUAUCUUUAAUAGAUAAUUAGAGUUCAUAAUCAAUAAAGGUGUAGCCAAUUAUAUAUCAUGAAAGGGUAUUCCAACAAAAAGAUCAAAUGCUCCUUGCAAAAUAGUGUGCAACUGAUUUGAGAAAUAAAAGAUGUGAAAGUUCUGGCUGACAGUCUAAUAGUCCUCCCAGUUUCUCUGUUUGUCCGUCUUUUUCUUCCUUUCUAUGAGAAUAGUACAGCAGAUUCCCUCCACUUCUAUCUUGCCAUAAUUAAUUCUUUAGCACCUUCUUGAAUGCCCUAUUGAGGUCAGACAUCCCUAAUAUUCUAUUUGGAUUUGUUCCCACAACAUUUCUAUGUCAUCGUUGUGGGAUGUCUUCUCUGUCAAACCCUACCAACAAGACAUGUAAAGCAUGACCAAAAUAAAAGUUAAGUAUGCAAAUACAUAAACAUAUGCACAGUUUCAUUUUACAAACACAUAGAGAAACAAAGAUCAAAUUUGCCAAUAACCAAUGAUUUGACAAUUCAAGGAGUGCGCUUAACACUCAAGCACAGCACAUAACAUCCCAGCACUGAGGAAGCAUGCAGCAUGAUUGCAUAACAAGUAUUUGUGUCAGUAUAUAAAAUAUGGAAUAUCAAAUUAUCAAUCAGACUUGUACUGCACAGCAUGGCAUGGAAACCAUGACGUGUACUCUAAUAAUCAUGUAGCAGCCUAUACCUAAAUCCCAGAUUCUAGAUAGCUAAGCUCAUGCGAAAUCCACCUAGAGGAAGUCCAUCCCUAAGAUACUUGAACCAAAUUUUAAAAUACAUAUCUGAUACAAUAAAGGAAACCUGUUGAAUUUGGACGACCAAGUCAAUUCGGACCCAAAAUGGGUAUAACCCCAAAAUAUAAUUAAAAUUUAUUUAAUACUGGUAUUUGGUAGGUAAGUACAUUAAUAACAUACCGAUACCCACUCAGAUGACUACAGUAUGAUCAGUGUGUUGUCAAACUUCAAACCAUAACUUGAACAACCACAACCAGAGAUAAUCUUAUCGUGUUCCCACAUCGACUAACACAAGCCUUCCCCCUCAAUUUAUAUGCUCCUUGACGACCUGUCCGCACAACAAAACUCUCAAGUAAUUUACCUUUACCGCCAAAGACUAAUUCUACAAAGUACUGCUCCAAAUUUUCUUAAUGGGACAAAAACAAAUGCCCCUCACCUUUCUUUAGUCUUCAAACUAAAUGCACCUUAGCCCGUACUACCUCUCUUGAAAGUGCAUUCCAGAUUCUUUGCAGGCUUCACUGAAACACAUCGGAUCCACUUAUGUAAGGCAAAAAUCCCAUGUGUCAUUUUUCACCCACUAUGAAACCACAAAAGACUAGAUGCAAUACAUUUAGAGCUCACAUAGAAACUCAUCGCAUGGAUUGGCAAGGUGGCAUCAUCUGCAAGUUCGAUAUAUGCUUCGACAUUUUGUCCAUUCUUCCUCAAUGCAUUGCAUGAGCACCCAUAUGGCAUGUGACAUGGAACAUCAUCUGUUAGUCGUCACAAAGCAGAACAGAAUUGCACAAUGUGAGUUGACUAGCAUAGAGAUUUCUAAUUGAAGGACUUCCAAAAUAGUUAUAUAAUUCAACAGUAUCCAUUGAUUAUUACCAUUUUCAUAUGUUCAAUUAUCAAGCUAAACACUCAUUGUAUGACUGUAUCAUUGUCCACUUACUGCUCUGAUCGCUAACUUCCUAAACUUUUUGUACAUUUUGCAAAAUGAUUUUCACGAGCAUCCAUUACGUUUGCACACUUGUAGGUCGUAAUAAUCAGGAUCGUUCACUUUCCCAUGUCCACUUUCUGAGCUCAACUAUAUUGUAUCAAAGUCCAAAUUACUGCUCUAACCCCUAUAUUCCUAAAAUUCUUGUACAUUUUGCAAAAAGAUCAAGGGUGACCAUUAGGCUUACAUACUCAUAAAUCCUCCAUGUAAACCCAAACUUUGGGGAAUAAAAACAAGAAAUCUCAUAUCUUAUUCAAUUAUCCCAAUCUCUCUGCAUCACAGACAAGAUUGCAACUCGGUAUUCUUUUUUCUUCUUUCCUGCUGUGAAAAAAAAUAGAACCCGAUAUGCACCGAUGACCCACUAAAAAUACUCAGAUCUCCAUGUACGAUACAUUCAACUUAGCCUCACUACCAGCAUAUCGUCAUCUCCGGCUCAUUUUCUUGCCGACUUCCUGUAUCUUAUCGGAGAGCUUUUAAGCCUUCAUCCAGAACACUUUCACAAGCUCACUGAUAAUUCUCUAAUCAUGUAGCUCAAUCGCCCAAAACCACAAGUAAAGAAAUCAAUUCAAGCAAUAAAUGAAGCACCUUUCCAGCCACGGCCUUGGUCGGUACCACUCGGAGCUCGCCGGAAUCGAAAAGCUUGUAGUUGCUCUUCCGAUCUCCAAAAGUACCAACCUCCUCCGCUCCAUCGGCGUACAAAGCAUCCUUCCUCUCCUUCCUAUCACUCCUGCUUCGGCUCGAGCAAACGCAACCCAUCUCUUACCCUCUCGAUCGGGGCACCUGCAGCAGAGACCUAAUCGAGGAACCAGAGCCCUAGGAUUCUCCUUUUACUCCUCCUGCCCCGGUCCGCGGGGCGCGGUACUUAUCCAGGGAUCCCCCCCCCUCGUCCUGGCUCAUCGCCGUCUUCGCUCGUGUUCUUCGGAUUGACUCGUUCGCGUGUGUCGGGAGUCCAAGUUCGCAGUCUGAAAGCGAGGUGCGGCUGGGGGCUGUUUCUCGCGCCCCGAAUUUACCGUCCUGCCCUUCCGUUAGCCCCACGGCGGUCCGCGUUGGUCGCAGGACCGCGCGACCCACGAAGAAGGGCCUGUUUUGCCAAAAGGGUCGCCUCACCCGACCAUGAUGAACCAACUGCCGUCCCACCUGCCCUCUGAGUCGAAGCCAGUGGGGGCCAACGUGGGUCCCAUAACCCGAUUUAACCGAGAGGCAUUAGGCAGGCGGGGUGAGAGAAGUGGGUACCUCGGCUAUGCUUCUCGACGGACGGUUUGGGAGAGAGCGGGUAAGCCGCGAAGGAACGGCGGGGGAACGAGUCGCUCGCCUGCCUUCCACCCCCGCGGGGCCCACUAAACGCGUGGUGAUCGGACACCGCCGGGUCGGUCUGGGAGUCCAAAGUGGGGACCACCGGGCCGGCCACAAUGAUAAUUACAAUAAUACAUAACAGCAAUAGGUUGUGUGGGUCCCCGUGUCUGGGUUAAUCGCAAUUGAGGGUUAUCUUUCUUUGUGCUGCGUUUGCCGGUUCAAUCGUAAUGGAUAGGUUCAAUCGAGACCAUGAUUUGCCGGUUCGGACCGGAUCUAAUUGGAUUAGAAAUAAGGAAAGGGUCGGAGUUGACGAGGAUAGUAAUUAUGAUAAGACUCGAGUGACGUCAGAUGACGCCUCACGCAACAACACCUGGUCAAUGUAGAUCGGAACGUCAACCGAGAUGCAUUAACAUCCGGCCAAAACUCAAUUCUUCAUGCCACGGGCAGCUCAGGAAGCAGUAUGUUUCCCUAUAAAUACCCUCUCGUUCAUUAGAAAGAGGGGGGGGGGGGAGAGACAGACGCACAAAAACACUUCUUCAUCUGAAACUCUCUCCACAUCUGCUAACUUGAUCGUCGGAGGGGUCGGGCCGAGCAUCUCAACCCGACCUUUGUGCAGGUGCGAAGCCGAAGGUCCCCUCCGGACGCGCAGGCGAGGAGUUCCUGCCCGGAGGAGACGGCUACACCGUCCCGAUCGGACACCGUACCCGAUCGCCUCAGCAGGCUCGAGGAACGCCCCAAGGAGAUCCCCGUCGUUCGAACCCGAACCGAACCGCGUCGGCCCCAAGGCCACGGCUCAAAGUUGUUUCCCACAACAACAGGAGUAUAACUCUAUAGGGCUCGUUUGGACCUAUGGUGAGAUGGCCACCGUAGAAAAGAUUAAUCCUUAGAUGAAAUAAGCCUCUGUAUCAUCUAAGAAAUGAGGUGGUUUGAAGUCAGAUAUAUUGACUUCAGUACUCAUGAAUUUGAAGAUAUUUUUUUUGGGGAGGGUUAUAUAUUCAUUGUGAACAAAUGUGAACUUGAUAUUGGUUGGACAAGAAAAACAACUCCAAAGACAAAUUUGGCGUCAAGAUGAAAUCACAACUCAGUAGUCAUUUUCUGACCCACAUGAAGACAAUAAAUCACUUGUUCAUAUGCAAAUACAUCAUCAUCAACAAGGGGUUUGACGAUCUUGUUUCCCUUCUCCAUCUCUCACCUUACCCCAGUGAUGAAGAACGAAAGAAACAGAUGCAUGGGAACAAGGGCAAGUAUCUUGCUUGAAUGGAUGGAACACAAUUGCAGGAAUUUUGGCCACAAAUUGAAGGUAAAUAAUUUUGACCAAUUCCAAUGAGAAUGGCAUCUCAAUUCAGUCAAAUUUAGCUCCAUGACAUGAACCAUGUCUAAAUCAUUGUUGCCGACAGACACGCAUCUAUCGAUUCCAAGCUAAUGACACGUUUGAGAAAAAUAAAAAACAUGAGCCGUAACAAUUUCUCCAUCCAGCACUCAAGACUACUUAAUAAUUUGACCAAAAUAAAUCUUAAGAGGCUGUGGUCUUGUCAUUUUUUCCUUGUUUGACCAUUUGCCUCCGACAUGGUCAGAUUGUUUAGUUUGAAUGCUGAAACUUGCAAUAUGAUUAGCAUAGUGCAUGAUCUUCAAAUCGUAGUCUGGGUCUAUAAUGUGAUUAUUAUUUUAAAAACAUAAUACUAUCUGAAGAAGACCUUAACUAUUAAUAACAAUGUCUGAUGCUGAAAUCCAGUCUUCACCAUUACCCUUGUAAAAAAAAACAUAUAUGUUGUUUCAUAAAACUAUCAUUUCUCAACUUUGAGUCAGAAACAUUUCCUGCAGCAAGAUUUAUUGAAUUUAUCUUCAAGUACAGAAAAAAUGAAAGAUUUCAUUGACCGAAACGAAAGAGAAUACACGGUACACCAUGAUUUUGAAUUUGAAUAAAAAUUUUAAAAAAUGACAGAUCUAUUCGCUCUAUUGAAAGAAAAACGAUAGAUAGUUAAACAUUAUCGAAUUUGAUAGUCACGAUUACCAUCACGGAUCAUAUUACUCGUCACAAUUUUAUCAUGCAGUUCUGCAGGUCAUUCAGCAAUAACAAAUUUGGCAGCCAGGUUGACCAAAAAAGUACUCUAGGUUUAGUACAUUGAGGAGGAUAACUAAUGGUAACAACAUAAUGUCACAUUUUCUGAUUUGAUGGAAAACUACAGCUAAGUGCAAUUUCAUGACAAAGUUGAGUUGAUGGUUGGGGCAUCUGUACUGAAUUUUAUGCACAAGGCAAUCUCCUUAAGAGCAUCCCAAUAAGACAAUGGUCCCUUUACAUAUUAUAUCAAUUCUGCUUAGUCCCUGAAGUAGAAACCUCGGCAUUGCAGACAGGACAAACCUACAAGAGAACAGAGUAUAAUUGGUUAGUUUUCAGAAGUCUUUAUGGAGCACAUCAUAUGCCGUAAUUAAAUUGGUAUUUGGUUCGCUAAAAUGGUUUCUGAAUUGUAUCCAACAUAAAACAUAACAGGCACGUGGUAGUAGCUGCAAUAUCAUCCAAUGAUGUUAAUGCUCAUUUAGAAUCAUGAUCCUCAUUUAUUUUCACUUCAUCUAAAAUAAUGGGCUAUUCCCAUGCAACAUGUUCAUUUUCCUAUGCUACAACAUUCUACCGAUCAUCUACUAUCUUUGUUAAAGACCAAUAGAACAGUUGUGAUCGACCCAUCGCUUCUAUCUUUUCUCCAAUCAUCUUUAACAUCUUUCUGAUAAUCCAUAUUCCAUAAUGUUCCAGCUCAUGCUACCAUAUGAGGCGUGGAUGCCGUGAAACAACUGUGAAGCUGAGGGGAAAAGGUAAACACAUGAAGAAUUUGAAACUUAUGGUUUAAAUGACAUGGACAACAUUGCCUAUAGUAGACAUUGAAGAAGCAAUGAUUCAGCAUAUCAGAACUGUUCUAUAGGUCUUUACCAAAAGUGCAUCCCACUAAUUGGGGCUAAAAAAUGUAUACUAGAGUCCUUUGUAGAGCCCUACGUAUACUCCAUUGUGGAAAUGAGUCUUUUGUAAAGCUAUGACCUAUCACUCAUCCUCUAGAAGAAGAUCCUCUUGUUGAGUGAGUUAUUAACUUGAUUCGGUUGCUUGGUCUCUUACCCAAAAAUACGGAACCAGUGGUUUUUGUUUAUGCCUAUGCUCCACUAGUUGCUACAAGAGCCGACUGAUUUUUUUUUUAUCGAUUUCCUAACUUCUAUUCUUGUUAAUACCACCCACUAGUGGAGACUGGAGAUUCAGCUUUUAACCAUUGGCACAUCAUAUGUAGCAUUAUAUGUCAACUCUCAAAGUAAGCAGCCACCAUUGGACUGACAUGUCCUAUGUACGACUUGUAGCAUCUCAAAGCAAACAAAGCAUGGUCAGAAUUUCAAGACAACUCCAAGCCAAAAAAGCGCCUAAAAUGAGUGAAAUAAGACAUAUUAGGAUGAAUUAUUCAGGUGAAGGGAAACACGAUCAGUGCCCGCAUGCCCUAUUAUCUAAUGAGCUUUUGAAAAAACCAUUUGAACCUAUUUAACAAAAACGACUGCCUAACGCACAAAGUUCAUGCCAAUGCGGAGUGUGGGAAGGGUUGGUCAUGUUUUGAAUGCCUAGUACCCAAUCUUAUUUCUUCAAGCAGAGAAACUAUCUUCUGAAUGCUGAUCAUUCAUGUAGCAAAUGAGCAGCCUUAUUAUGACUACAAGACUCGCUAUUAUUUAGAAUCCAUUUUCCACCAAAAAGAAAAGUCCAAUUCAAGUAUUUAAACAUUGACCUAAUAAUGAUUUCAGUGACCUAUAGGACUAGUUUGGUACAGACAGACCGAGUCAUACCACCUUGGAUGAAAUAUAUAAUUCGAUACUCAUACUUGAUUGGAACAGUAAAUAUGGUCCAAUUAGUAUUUAAAACCUCGAGCCUAAUCAAGGUCUCAGUAAAAAAGAAAAAUUGUUAACAAACAAACAACUUUACCAUGAUGCCAAGACACACCCCCAUUUGAAAACUAUUUUCCCCAAGAAAUAAGUCCAAUCAAUUUCUAAGAAAAAUUAUCCGGUUUAGUGUAAAAGCAAGUAAAGAUCUCUCAUAGAAACUAUUUGGUUCAUGAGCUUUGACAUCGUGUACUGGUUAUCUCUCAUAGAAACUAUUUGGUUCAUGAGCUUUGACAUCGUGUACUGGUUAUGUUCAAGCCAUCUAGCAGAAAACAAAGCUGAAAAUGAACAAAGAAUAUCAAAUUUUGCAACAGAAUAAGGCAUCUAAUUGUUCAAACAAACAGAUUGUUCAACCCAAACCAACCUGUUCACAGCUCGAUUAAGAUUUUUAAACCAGUACCUAAUUUGUACGGUUAUGGUUUACAAUAUUCACAAUAAUAAAUAUACAGAAUCAGGGAAAAUAAACAAGGAACCAUAUGAACUAACUAAAUAUCUUCUAUUUUUUUUCUUUUUUUCCUAAACACAGAAUCAAAUAGUAGUUGACAAUGACAAUUUUUACUACAAAUUUAUUGUGUGGACAUCAAUUUUCCUUUUGUAGAAUUUUGGGAAAAGAAUGGAGAGGGAAAAAUAACAUUGUAUCCUUAUAUCUAAGUUGAAAAUCGCUGGCAGGAUACGCAAGAGUAGAGUUGCAUCUAAGAGUGUAGACGAGAUUAGGUGUUGAACUUUUUCUACCAUGCUGCCCAUCAGAUUGAGAUCAGGUAAAGAACCCUAUACAAAAACAAGGUCCUCUCAUCCAAAUCGAUUGAUUUUG
rnacentral:lncRNA from 1 species